rnacentral:lncRNA from 1 species
CUCUCUUCUUUCCGCCCUACUUGCGCCUGCGCAGCCGCCUCCGUCGUUGUAGCAGAAGCAGCGAUCCCCCGUCGCCAACACCCGAAGAAAGGUUGUCACAUCCCUCCCCUACGCCUGCCUAUUCACCCAUGGCACUACGGAUCUGCGGGCUUUAUCGUUACGUUUGGUGCUGGAUUUAGUUGCUGUGAUUGAUGAUGGUGUUGCCUAGUUUCGUUGGGAGUUUCGUUCCCGAUGGUGUUGCUUUAUCGUUCGUUGAGAUACUCCUUUCAUUUUCCACUUGUAAGGCUUAGUUUUGUGCCGAUGUUUGUAGCCACUGUUUAGAUCUCAAAUAAGCCCUGGCUUCUUAGUUGCAAAAUUCUUGCAGAAGAUCUGUAUGGAGGAGGAAUUGGACCUUAUUGUUAAACAUAUUUUAGUUGGAGCUGUAUUAUGCCUCGGUAGAUAUUUUGCUGCCGAUUUCUUGAUUUGGCCCGUCAAAAAAGUAUGCAAAACAGGGGCUUUGAAUUGCUUGCUUAUCUGUAACCGCUUACUUAUGGAUCACUUACUAGUAUGUAGGCAUUCGCUUUUUUAUUUCGAUCUGCAUACAUGAUUUGGGUGCUCUCCUGUAUGAUCUGAAGUGCAAUUGAAUUGUACACCAGCAUUUGCAUAAUGCAAUUCCUUGUGUUUGCAGCAUGGAUACCCAGGUCAAGCUCGCAGUCGUGGUGAAGGUGAUGGGCCGCACCGGCUCCAGGGGUCAGGUGACCCAGGUCAGGGUGAAGUUCCUGGAUGACCAGAACCGUCUCAUCAUGAGGAACGUCAAGGGCCCUGUUCGUGAGGGCGACAUCCUCACCCUGCUCGAGUCCGAGCGGGAGGCCAGGAGGCUGCGCUGAGCGGCUGCUUUUCCUGUCUUCGGAAGUAAACUCUACUGCAUUUGAAUCAACUUAAUGAACGCUGGCUUUGUCUUUUGCCUAGGCUAUGGAAAUGUAAGCAGUACUUAAUAGGUUGCAGUUUUCUUCUGUUGCCUGAAUUAAAGUGCACUUGAUGUUGUGAGACUUGAUCAUCCUUGCGCACCUCUGGGUUAUUUGAAUUGAUUGGAUGAAUGCUAUAUUGUAUCCUAUGAUUUGAGUAAAAUUAUGGUUACCUGUGGUGACUUCUGUUUCUUGAACACUUGAACUGGAAAAUUCAGCAGUUAUCUCUCACAACAAUCCCGCCGGUAAUAAUAGUGAAUGCAAUUUGGGUUACAUACAAAGUUUUCUCUCACAAUGCUGUGCUCCGUUUGCUUAAAGCUGUCUUAUCAUCCAAAGCUGCUCUAUGAACGGAGAACAGCGUUGACAGAUACCAUACUACACGAUUUGGGUUACUCCAAAUGCAAGCCAGUGCGGAGUUUUGGAAUCCAGUGUUUGAAGCCAUUUCAAAGUUAAACUUUUUGUACAUUUUCUUUACCUAUCUACUCCCUAUGUUUCUAAAUAUAAUUCUUUUUAGAGAUUUCAAUAAGAACUAUGUACGGAUCUAUAGACAUAUUUUAGAGUGUAACUCAUUUUGCUCUGUAUGUAGUCCGCAUUAGAACCUCUAAAAAGACUUAUAUUUAGGAAUGGAGGGAGUAUAAAGUGCCAUUGAGAAUAAAGUUUUGCAAGGAGGCUGGUAGCCAAAUGCCUUGUGAAGUUCUUCCAGAAAUAGAUUCCUGCAGUCAUACUCAGGUUUGUUGCCUCAUCUAUCCAAAGUGAAGUAGGCCGUGUAAUGGUUUAACCAUAAUGAUUGAUGAAAUAUUUUAGUUGCGCUGAGAUGGUUAAUUCAACUAAGAGUGUAUAUGGUAGUGAUAUUAAUAUCAUUUGUGAUUUCCUGCGCAAAAAUAAAUAAAGUAUCAUUUGCGAUUUGUUUGUAGCAGCUAUGAGGAAGCCUCAGUUUAAGCGAGGAAAUACUAGUAGCAGCAUGAAGAAGCUUAGGUUUCAGGUGUCGACUCGCAUCCGCUGGUAUCAUUUUGGUUGUUUGUUCCUGUAUGAAACUCAAAUGAUAUUUCUAGAAUAUUUUAUGCACGGUAUACAGAGAAGGUUCAUAGGUCAGCCAGUAGUCAUGCUGUUUGUUAUUUGAGGGCCUCUUUGAUUCAAAGGAUAUUCACAAUAUUUUUUGAGGAUUAGAAUCCUUAGGAAUUUUUCCUACAUUGACCGUUUGAUUCGCAUAAUUGAAUCCUAUAGGAAUUUUUUCUAAGAAAUCAUUGGUACUAUUUUUCAUGAGAAAUCUAACGUCCACUUAAACCUCUUGAAGAGAUCUUCUGUUUUUCUUGUGAUGCAACCAAACAAACUCAAAUCCUGUAGGAUUCCAAUGAGCAUGACAUUCCAAUCAUGUAUUACAAUCGUCAGAUUGAGAUUACCAUGGCUUGUUGGUCUCCUUUGCACACUUCACACUUGGUUUAUUUUUUGGAUGGGCACUUCAUACUCCAGCUGAUUGGAGAUAGGAAAAAUGUACUACGCUUAAAUGAUGAAUACAGAUAGAAAGCCUAUUAAAUUUGAUGCCCUGAAAUGUUGUCUUUCGCCUUAAGCUUUUUUUCCUUUGCAAAACUGCUUUCGAAUUUCCCAUAAAAGUCUACCAGUUUUGUAUAUGUCAUUUCACCACGGUAUCUUUCCAUUAAAUAGGAUGUCUAGAAUUCUAUUAUUCGGUUGAGGCAUAUUGCUUUUCUCUACUCUUAUAAAAAAUAGAGUUGAUGACAGUGGUGUGUUUACCAUCCUGCAAUAUAGGCCGUGCGAUUUAUAUCUAACAGAUAGGAAGGAAAUUAUGAUAAUUUUGCAAAAAAAGAUACCCAGACCUCUCUUCACAUUUGUAAAUAAGGUCUUCUCUUGUUCAUUUUUCUCUCUCACAAGAUAAACUACUCAUACAAAUGCAUUUUGAUGUUCCGUGCAACGCACGGGCAUCUUGCUAGUAAGAAUAACAUAUUUAGGUGCAAUUCAGAACCUGAUUCAAUGCGUCUUUGAACUGCUGACCAAUGCAUGACAAUCUUCCUGUCCUGGGGCAACGUAGAGGGCGUCAUCUAGCAACCCAUGUAGGAAAAACUGGGUUCCCGUAAAGGCAUCUCCAAAGCGGAUCCUCAACCUCCUGCAUCCGACACGGUCCCGCGCCGGUCCGCCAACGCGUCUGGACGUUUGUUUUCCCGCAAACCGAAGGCAACCAAAAGGGCCCGUAAACCGGAGACAAACAAAAGGGGGCUUUGCGAUAGUCUGGACAUCCAUCUAGCCAAUCAAAAGGCACCAUGUACCUCUAUCCACUCCAUCCGUGCAGGAUUUGGCGGAAGGCUAUUGUUGUUUGGCGAAAAGGAGAACGAUUAGCGCAUGUAUUUGACGAAAGUUUUUUUAGUAUCCUAGCAUGUAUUUGGCGGAAAGAUGUAAUAUGGAGUAGUUGAUUUGGCGGAAGGCUACAUGAUUUGGUUUAAACACGCAGCGUUGAAAAUGGCCCGUGUGAAAACUGUGUUGAUGGCCUGUGUUGGCGGAAAGUAUGCGUGUGUGUUCAUGCCAUGCAGUUUGGCGGAAGCUAGCUAACUAGCAUCCUUUUGAAGGAAGGCUUGGAAAUAUUUAUGUAAUCACCUAGCAAUUUUUUUUUAAAAAAAGGCAUCAUCCCGACUUUAUAAAUAAAGUCAUCAGGCAGCGUUCAUUACAAUCAAACCACAACCAACGAACCAGACAAUCGGCCACAACCACAAGGCAAAGUACGGGGGUAUAAGGCACUCAGGCCAAACGGCGGCACGCAUGCCGGGACUAAGACGACUACGAGAAAGGAAGUCAGCCACAUGAAGCCACCUCCAAAGCCAAAAAGGGGACCACCCAGGACUACUAGCCACAUGGCUCCUGCCGCGAGAUAGAAGACGCUGAAGCUCGAAUUUUAGAAGACAAGGAGGUCGAAAGCAUCGCGGUCUUCAGUCUUAGUCAAUGAUCUCCACUGUUGCAGAAGCAGGCAAGACUUAAAUAAGCAAUCAGAAGGUUUAGCAAGAAAAAUAUGCUCGAUAGUAAAUUUGUUCCUAGUUGUCUAAAGGGCCCAGCAAACCGCAGCUAGGCCAACCCAAAACAAACACUUGGUGAACCCCACUAGGCCAUUAGCUAAAAUCCGGAGCUCAGAAAAGGAGGAAGGGCUCCAGGAGACCCGAAGCCAAGACCUAAUGCAGCACCAGACCAACUUGGCCAAGACACACUUGAAGAAGAUGUGAUUCGUGUCCUCCAGGUCUCCGCAUAACACACAUCUGUCUGAGUUCGGGCCAUUGCAUUUAAGAAUUUGAUCCGCCGCAGGCAGGCGACCUUUAAAGGUUUACCAUAAGAAAAUCUUCGCCUUGGGAGGAAUCCGAGCACGCCAAAUAGGUUUAAACUUAGCAGUGGGGGUACCAAAAAUUAACUUGGCAUACAAAGACUUAACAGAAAAGCGGCUAGACGAAGAAUGGGGCCAGACAACCGAGUCCUCUCUCUCCGAGAGCACGGAGAUGAAAGCAACAAGUCGCAGACAGAGAGUGACAGAAGGCCAACUCCCAGCUAUUAUCAGAGAGCUCACAGAUAAUAGAUCUCCGGGUUAGGGCAAUAUGAAAAGAGUGUGGGGAAGGCCACAGAGAGAGUAGAAUCCCCACACCGCCAGUCAAGCCAAAAAUGAGUAGAUUUACCGUUACCGGCACAACUUUAACAUGGUCUUUAAAAAGAGGACGUAAUUUGACAAGAUCUUUCCAAAACUAGGAACCUCCCAAAGAAGAGGCAAACAUGGGGCUGGAAUUAGGGAAUUACUUAGCCUUGAGGAUGGAGAACCAUAGGGUGUCCUCCUCAGUCGUCAGUAUUUUCCACCACCAUUUGAUAAUGAGGCAUUUGUUCAUUAUUGCAGUGUUAAGAAUACCCAACCCCCCAAGGUUUUUGGGCCCACAAAUGACUUUCCAUUUAACCAUCAUAUAUUUACGUUUAUCAUCCGCAACAUUCCAAUAGAAAGCACCCCUGUGCUUAUCGAACCCUCCAUGAAUACCUCCCGAGAGAAGAUAAAAACCAUGAUAAUCAUCGGAAGGGAUGAAAGUCAAGCAUUAAUGAGAGCAACUUUACCGACAUUGGUGUUAUACCUGCCCCUCCAGGGCAUAACCCUAUUACCCACCUUGGAAACAACAGGGGCGAAGUCCUUAGCACAUAAUUUAGCCGGGGAAAUAGGAAGGCCCAUGUAUUUAAAGGGGAAGGAGCCCAAGGAGCUGUUUAGAAGCUGGGAGACCCGCAAGGCCUCCUCAUCAUCCACACCAGUAACAAUAACCUCACUUUUAGAAAAGUUGAUCUUUAGCCUAGAUAAAGCUUCAAAACAGAGCAGAAGGAACUUAAGGUGAGCAAGGCAAGCAUCAUUUAGUUCAACCAUAAUAAUUGUGUCAUCCGUGUAUUGGAGAUGAGUGACACCCUCGGGGAUAAGGUGGGAGAUGACAUGGGAGAUAUGACCGCUCGAGGCCGCCCUAGACAAGAUCUGAGAAAGGGCAUCCGCGACAAAGUUGAACAGAAGAGGGGAAGCCGGAUCUCCUUGCCUCAGGCCCCUGCCAUUGGCGAAGAACUUACUAACCUGGCCGUUAACUGAGAUCGCAGUAUGGCCACCCGAGACCAACUGCAUAAUCCUAUGCACAUAGGCUCCAUCAAAGCCCUUGGCAAGUAGGACCUGCUGGAGAAAUGGCCAACUAACCGAGUUGUAAGCCUUUUCAAAAUCAAGUUUAAGAAUAACAGCCUUUGCCUUACGCACCCUAAGGUCAUGAACAAUUUCUUGCAAGCAUAAUAUACCAUCCAGGAUGAACCUCCCUUUGACAAAAGCAGAUUGGAAAGGGCUAAGGGUCCUAUGGGCUACAGGGGAGGGGCGUGUGGCAAAUCCUUUUGCGGGGAACUUCGCAAAAUUGUUAAUGAGAGCAAUCAGCCUAAAUUGCGAAAUAAGGUCAGCCCCCUUGACUUUAUGAAUAAGAGUAAUGACAACAUAGUUAAGACGCCAGAUAUCCACUGUCCCCAAACAAAAACCUUGUAUGAUAUUGCAAACCAGGGAGCGAAGCUGCGGCCAAAACUUCCUGAAAAAAGGAAUGGAGAAGCCGUCCGGGCCCGAAGUCGAAUUAGAGUUGGCGGAGCAAAUCAACUCAAAAAAUAUCCUCCUCAGAAAGAGGAAGGAGCAGUGCAUAGUUCUCCUCCUUGGUGAUCCUCUCAAAUUGGUCCCACAGAGAGGGCGAGAUCGAGAAGCCGGACGUAGGCUUGGCAGAAAGGAGGGAAGAGAAGAACUCGACUACAUGCGCAAGGAUGAGGGCCUAAUCCGAAACUCUAGCAUCGUUGAUAAGGAGGAUAUCGAUCGAGCACCACCUUCUCCUCCCAUUGGCAAUAGCAAAGAAGUACGCAGUAGGGGAAUCGCCCUUAAGGGUCCAGUUCAUGGUACCCCUCUGGCGCCAGUAGAUCUCAGCCAGGUAGCAAAAUUUGGUGGAAGAGGCUAUUUGGAUGUCAUUGAUAUUUUUUUAAAGUUAACCGCGGUGGACAUUUAUGGUAUAGGGUUGGAUGGAUGACUCUUUUAUCCAGUCCGGACCAAUUUUCGGACAAAUGUCAUGUCUUUUUGCAGGUCGGCGCUAGAGAUGCCCCAAGUUCAGUAUAGGGCAACAACACACUUGGCAAUCCCCCAUGUUGAGUGUUCUUAUAGCAAUCUAAAGACGGACAAAUAAAUGUUGAGACAUCUCACAUGUUUUUUUUGAGGUAGCCAUCAAGGCUUACAUAUCAGUUUUACAGUGGCUGCAAUCAUAAAACACCAACUGUGAGAGUUGGUCAGGCACUGAGACCAGCAUCAUGGAGACUCCAGCGUCUCUAGCGCGAGCCACCAAAGCAUGCGCCACACUGUUGCCAUUCCCGCUGAUGACUAAGAUGUCCACCUCCUCCAACUUUGCCAUUGCAUCCAUGAUUCCUACGAGAGCAUGACACCUGCGUAACAACUGUAUACAUGAGGGUGGGAAAGCUUCAAUUGUUGUCUCUGUUGACUUCCUAAUGAAAUAUGUACCAAUGCAGGGUGCUAGAUGCAAGCACUAGUGGGAAAACAGUCACUAUUCCCGUGCAACCUACAGGGUGCUGCACAACCCAAGAAAUGGAGUCAUUGGAAGGCCCCGCUGAUGGGCUGGUGGAAAUUGAACGCAGAUGUUGCCUUCGAUCUGAAUGAUGGACGUGCCUCUGUGGGAUGGGUGGUCAGAGACAGAAAUGGAACCAUCGCCUUGUCGGGAUGCAGGCGCGUCGGUGUCUGCACCAGUGCAGAAGACAAGAUGGCCAUUGACUGCGGUGUGAAGGAUCUCGUGUCAAGAAUCAAAGGGAAAGUAGUGAUUGAGACGGACUGUGCUAACCUGUCACCCCUGCUGAAGGCAGAAUCACUGGACCUUUCUUCUCUGCGUCACACCAUCCAUAUUAACAAUAUAUAGUAUCCUCACUCUUGCCACUUCGUCACAAGGGCUUAGAAGACACAUGAGCCAAUCCUCCCCAGUAUAGCAAAAAUCUUUCUCCGGUGGUAGUUGCCAGAAUCGUCGUAUUUCGGAUCUCAAGGCUUUGGAUUUUGUACAGGUGACGACUGCAUGAUAUUCAGUCUCGUCCUCCAUCCCACAGAUCGUACAUGUAGCCAUCUUUCCCAAUGUACGUUGCAGUUUGUUCUCUCUUGUAGCAAGAGAUUCGGUGGCAAUCCUCUAUUUUGUGAUCUUCACCUUUUGUGGGAUUUGUGCUUGCCAAAUUAAACUCCAAAUGCUCCUGUUUGCGGAGCUAGAUGCGGGAGUGGGGGGGGGGGUUCUCUCUCUCUCUUUGAUUUGUUGUGCCAAAAAGUAAGCACUUUUAGCAGAGAGGACACCAGAUUUCUCUGGAUGCCAAGCAAUGCAAUCAUUAAUCUUCCGAGCUGGAAGCUUAAUGACACAAAUUUCCUCCGCCUCAUAGAACGGGAAGAUUUGUUUGAUCAAAUCAAUGUCCCACUCAUUUCUUUCCUCAUGAAUCAGUUGGUUUACUCAACACAAUCUCGACCUUCUUGUGAACUUUGCAGCUUUAGCCCAACUUGCCUCGGGAUCCAUUGUCCCUUUCAAUACAUGUGUUUCUUCCAUCUCCCACUAAUCCCUCCUUCAAGAGCUCUAGUCCGAACUCUAUACCUCUCCAUGUUGGGGAGGCAUCAGAAGCAAACACGGUGUCCAAAAUGUCACCAUUUGGAAAGUAUUUUGAUUUGAGUACUCUGGCACACAAGCUUUCCGGUCUAUGAAUAAUUCUCCAUCCUUGCCUUGCCAGCAAUGCGUGGUUGAAGAGAUGCAUGUUUCUAAAACCGGUCCCCCACUUUUUUUUGGUUUUAUCAUGUCCUUCCAGGCCAUCCAAUGCACUUUGCGAUGACCCUCUUCGCCCCCACCAAAAGUCACGGAUGAGCUUCUCAUACUUUUCAUGGAAACAUUUUGUCAUUUUGAACACUCCCAUGGGGUAGGUAAGUAAGGCCUACAACACACACUUAAUAUGGACCUCUUUAGCGGCGUGCAACAUGUACCUCUCACACCAAUCGGAGCAUCUUUUAGAGAACCUUUCCAUAGUGGGCAAAAAGCGUUCCCCUUUCAUCCUUCCUCCAGGGGUUGGGAGGCCUAGGUACUUGCUUUCAAAUGAAGAUGACACCACCCCAAGGAGAUUUUUAAUGUCGUGCUGAGUUUCUUCCGGACACACUUCACUAAAUAAUAAGGAUCAUUUUUGGGUACUAAGUAGUUGCCUGAAACCUUUUUGGAAGCAUUCAAGGGCUGUCUUGAUGUCACGAGCUUCUUGUAUAGAGGCUUUGAAAAACAAGAGGCCGCCAUCCGCAAACAGAAGGUUGGAUAUGCUUUUUAUAGCAAUUUUAAGAGGAGACGAACUCCCCUUUGUCACCUCACCAUGAAGAACAUUGGUCAGGCAAUUAGAUAGUAGAAGAAACAAGUAUGGGCUUAGAGGGUUUCCUUACUGCAAGCCCCUUAUCGGUUUAAAAUAAUCAAGAAGUUGUCCAUUCCAUUUGACAACAUACCUUACUGACUUUACACAACUCAUAAUCCACCUGAUCCAUACAUGGCAAAAACCCACUUUUUCCAGGACCCCUUCAAGAAAUCUCCAGUCCACUCUAUCAUAUGCUUUCGCAAGAUCCAAUUUAUACGCACAAUGAUUAUUGGAUGCGUACUUGUUGUUCUGAAUCUUGUGAAAACACUCGAAGGCAAUGAUAGCGUCGUCAGUAAUCAUCCAUCCCGGAAUAAAGGUGCUCUGAGUUUCAGAAAUGAUCUCUUCCAAAAAAGGCUGGAGUCGGUUAACUAAGUAUUUGGAUACCACCUUGUAUAUUACAUUACACAGACUGAUAGGCUCGUAGUCCUUCAAGGUUUGGGGGUCCUUCUCUUUUGGGAUAAGGCAAAUCACCAUGUCGUUGACCCCUUCAGGCAUCACUCCAGUUACAAAGAAGCUUUUCACUGCCUUGAUAACAUCAGCCCUAAGAACUCUCCAAUUCUUUUGGAAGAAGCGGGCCGGGAAGUCGCCCAGCCCCGGUGCCUUAAAAGGCCCAGUUUGAAAGAGUGCGUCCACAAUUUCUUUGUCCGUAAAUUCCUUCACCAACGCCUCAUUCAUUUCUCUAGUCACCUUUUCAGGUACGAAUUUUAGGUGUCUUGAUGGGUUGAAAUGAUCAAUAUGGUUGACUAGAGGGGGCGGGGGUCAAAUAGGCAACUACCAAUUUUUAGUUUUUCUUAAUAAAUUAGGUUUAGCACCAAAUGGAUUGUCUAGAUAUGCAACUAGGUGAGCAACCUAUAUGAUGCUAGCAACAACAACAACACAAGCAAGCAAGAUAAAUAAGACAAGUUAAGCUUGCGUAAAGUAAAGGUGUGAGAUAACCACAAGUGGAGCUGGUGGAGACGAGGAUGUGUUACCGAAGUUCCUUCCCUUUGAGGGGAAGUAUGUCUCCGUUGGAGCGGUGUGGAGGCACAAUGCUCCCCAAGAAGCCACUAGGGCCACCGUAUUGUCCUCACGCCCUCACAUGCGAGAUGCCGUGAUUCCACUAGUGGUGCCCUUGAAGGCGGCAACCGGACCUUUACAAACAACGUUGGCGCUCUCUCCACAACCGAAUUGGAGACUCCCAACACCACAACGAAGCUUCACCUCAAUGGAAUGUGGCUCCGAGGUGACCUCAACUGUCUAGGGUGCUCAAACACCCAAGAGUAACAAGAUCCGCAAGGGAUUAGUGGGGGGAAUCAAAUUUCUCUUGGUGGAAGUGUAGACUAGGCCUUCUCAAGCAAUCCCUAAAGAAUCAACAAGUUUGAUUGGCUAGGAAGAGAGAUCGGGCAAGAAUGAGCUUGAGAACAAUAGUGGAGGUUGGGGAAGGAAGAGGUAAGUCAACUAGGAGAAGAUGACUCCCUUUUAUAGCGGGGGAUGAAAUCCGACCGUUAUGCACCCACAGCCCAUGCACAAGUGGUAGUACUGCUCACGCGAGCGUUACUUCCGCUGGCACGGAGGUUCCAUGCGCUGAGUACAACUGAGUAGGUCAGGGAGGCGGUAGUGCCGCCGGAGCGGUAUUACCGCUCCCACCAGCGAUACUUUCGCUUGGUGUUGAACAACAGGCGGAAACAACGGUAGUAGAGAGAGGCAGGGCGGUACUGCCGCAUGGGGCGGUAUUGUCGCUGGCAACUACCGCUCUACAUCUAGUCAAGGGACAUAGCAGUCAAGAAGGCAAAGAAUAAGCGGUACUCCCACGGUACAAGGCAGCGGUAGUUCCGCCGGAGCGGUACUACCGCUCCGCGUGGGCGGUACUUCCACUUAGCUAUUAGAAGCUCAAUGAAUCCAAGGUAGUAGGGUGGUGGUCAGGGCCGUAGUACCGCCGGAGCGGUACUACCGCGCUAAACUACCGCCCAUUUACAGAACCCCAAAAACAAGUGGAAGUCUCUAUAGCACUAACCAGUGGCAGUACCGCUGGAGCGGUACUACCGCUUAUGAGCUUCUGGAAUGCCCAAGCACAAGGAGGACAAGCUCAAAUGCCGGGAAAGAAAGAGGGUGUGAAAAGACUGUGUACGUGUUGAUCCACCCAAACCUUUCCAUAGCGGACCCCCUCUUAAUAGUACGGUGUUCCUACGACUCAAAUCCACCAAAAAUGAAAAGAAGGAAAAACACCGUCUUCGCUAAAGCUUCGAGAGGCACGAAUCGUCUUGUGCCAUAUGAUAGAUAAUCUAAAAUGCUCAAUGCACACAAUUAGUCCGCAAAAGCAUUGUCAUCAAUCAUCAAAACCACUAAGGUGAAAUAUGCCCUAACACGGGUCAACUGAAUCGUCCUCACUAUACACAGUCCCAUUUGUUUUAACUCUCCCAUGUCAUUCACCCACUGUCCGGAAUCGUUCCUCAGCUUGCCGAUCUUAUUCUUUUUUUGCCUCCAAGUUGCUUUCCUAUGGAAACAUUUCGUGUUCUUGUCUCCCUCCUUUAGCCAUGUGAUCCUGGACCUCUGUUUCCACAUAAUCUCUUCUCUAAGUAGUAGCUCAUCUAGCUCCACCGAGAGCUUCCUCACUUCCCUGUCAACUGCAGCAGUCUGCUUAUUUUAUCCCUGAUCUGUUUUGACUUUUUGAGCACUGAACCAAAGCUCUUGCUACUCCACUUCUUCAGCAAUACUUGCAUGGCGCCCAGCUUUGGUGCGACAUCAGAUAAAUUAUUAAGACUGCCGCUGCCAGUCCAACCUUCCUCCACAACCUCCUCUAGCUUAGGUUUCCGCUCCCACAUGCAUUCAUACUCCAGACUGCUCUCCUCCCAUCUUCUACCAAGUUGCAGCCAAACUGGGAAGUGGUCUGACCAACUUGAGCAUAUGUGAGUGACAUUAUAGUUGGGGAAUAAGACAGUCCAUCGAGGAGAUGUUAUGGCUUUGUCCAAGCAAGCACGAAUGUUUCUGCAUCCUUCCUGUUUAUUGUUACAUGUCCAGUCUGGUCUGCGGUAUCCCGAUAAUGACGAGGCCAAAACAUGUGAGCGUCAUUCUUAGGCAUAGCGUGAUCUUCUCAUUUUCUUGAAUUCUCUUCCAAGGGCAGGCUUGGAAUGCACCAUGCCACUUACAACAAGUCUGACCAGAUUCAGAAAGGAAAAAGGAAAUUUGACUGUGUUACCCUGAAGCAGCUAUAGACGAAAGGCAAACUUCAUGAUUAAAAAAAAUACAAAAAGUAAGAUUCAGAAAGGAAAAUGGAAAUUUGACCGUGUUACCCUGAAGCAGCUGUAGACGAAAGGCAAACUUCAUGAUUUUUUUUACAAAAAGUAAGACUCAGAAAGGAAAAGGAAAUUUGACUGUGUUACUCUGAAGCGGUUGUAGACAAAAGGCAAACUUCAUGAAAUUUAAAAAAAAUACAAAAAUUAAAGGGGCAUUCCAAGAAUUGAACUCGGGACCUCUCGCACCCUAAGCGAGAAUCAUACCACUAGACCAAAUGCCCUUUGGUGUCUAUUCAAUUAAUAGCUUUGUAUAUAAUCAUUUCUUACUGCACCCUUGCAUGUGCAGGCCCAACAUUGCGGCUAUGCUAACUUACAACAACAUGCAGAUACAACUGAAAACUUUUCCAGUUGAACCAUAGCCACAAGACAGAACUUACACUAUUGCAGGAUGCUGCUAACACGACACUACGAUUAGAGACCCUUCGACGAUACUGUGUGUGAUGCAAUAAUGACAAACGGUGGUGUAAAAAACCAUCAAAGAAGGUGCAAAACGUUUGCGACGACGGAUGCAUCAAACACGGUUCAGAUUUUAGUUGCGUGUGCGAUGCAGGGCAUACGGUUCAGUUCAAUUAACUAUUUGCGAUGAGGAGGAACAAAAGAAACGGGCAGCCAGAUGAAAGUGUGUGCGAUAUACAGCAUACGGUUCACUCGGAUGAACUGUUUGUGAUUAGGCAACACAAAUGAAACGGUCAGCCAGAUCAAGGUGUGUGCGAUAUAUGGCAUGCAGUUCACUCGGAUGAACUGUUUGUGUUGAGACAAGAGAACAUAAACGGUUCAAUAUAACAAGAUGUGUGUGAUACGCGGCAAACAGGUCUGUAAUCAUAAUUGUGUGCGAAGACCGAUAAUAACACAGACGAUUACUUCUAAUAAGACGUAUGUGAUAUGCUCUGUCUACACAACAUCUAUUGGCCAUUGGGCGACGGGCGGUCAUCCGGUACGCAAUAAGGAUGCGAAGAGGCAUCCUAUAUCAGCAAGGACUAGCUGUUCCACCAAUAGCUCAUCUAAGAGAAAUCUCAAGUUAACUGUGCUAAGGCUGGAGCAGCUAUCAGAUGGGUGACUGGAUGGGAAGUUGUCUUGAUGUUAAAUUAACUAAUGGGAUGGGUCAUCCAGGUCAAAUUAAAUGACGUGUAUGAUCCAUCCCAUUAGUUAAAUUAACCUCGAGGUCCUUGUUUUUUUAACACAUGUUAAAGAAGGUCUACCGCAUUACUUUUUGACAGUGUGCAAUACGUGGCAUACAGUUGAUCCAUCCGACCUGUUUGUGAUGGAAUAAGUUGUGUGUGUUGUGGGCAAACGCAUGCUAGUAUACAACCGUUUGCGAUUGAUGAAUUCAUCACCGACGGGCUCCCUAGUGUGGUUCGUGUUCAUCUGAUCAUCAUUUACUUCUUGUUCUAGCUCGAUGUUCCUUAUAUGCUAAGUUUCCAUUAAUUGAUGACGUUUUGUGAACACGCCACCGUUUUCCGCCAUUUCCUCACAUGUUUGCCGCCACCCAGCGAUAUUGCCCAUAAACCUAGGCGGCGCGCGACGCACAGAGGCAACAAGCGCAGCCUGUAGCACAUCCACCUUUUCGAAGCAUGCCAACCCAGCAAAGCGCCGCCUCUGCCAUCAACCUCGUUGACGAGGAAAAGGAGCAGGUGCCACGACCCGUCGAGGCCGAGGCGCUCCCCGGCAACGCGAUGGACGAUGCCGUGAUGCGUGUCAUCGCCAGGGUUGAGAGACCCUUGGCGCAUGGCGCUUCAGCGCCGCGGAUCAAGAUAGGCAUGUCAGCGCCGAGAGGCUGCAGCUCGCCGCACAACAUGAUCGAUGGCGCGCCACAAAGCAAGCUAGGCGCAUCCGUGCCGAUAGGCUACGGCUCGCCGCACGGCGAGGCCGUUGGAGCGCCCCACAGCGAGAAACGUGGCGCGCCGCACAGCAAGAGCGGAUCCAUCGACGCUUGCCUGCUAUUGACAGGGCGUUGCAGCUGGGUACACGUCCCGUCAGUACCCCCAUUCCUCGCCACGAGUGGGCAGAGGCCCUUUGCACCAUACUUGCACCACAGACCGACCGCGCCGUACUUGCACCAGACGCCCGCCGCGCCGUUCGAUGCCAAUGUGCUGGUCGGUAGGCUCGACCGCCUCCUUGGCCCAGGUGUCCACCUGGGCGCAAUAGAGGAACAUGGCCGUCGCAUCCUCAAGCUCGUGAUCUCUGAUGAAAGAUCGUGGAUGUCGCCUAGAGGGGGGGGGUGAAUAGGCGCUUUAAAAUAAUUACGGUUGAGGCUUGAACAAAUGCGGAAUAAACCUAGCGGUUAAUUUGUCAAGCACAAAACCUACAACAACUAUGCUCACCUAUGUGCACCAACAACUUAUGCUAAGCAAGAAAAACUACUUAGGUGAUAGCAAGAUAUAUGACAAGAAACAAUAUGGCUAUCACAAAGUAAAAUGCAUAAGUAAAGGGCUCGGGUAAGAGAUAACCGAGGCACACGGAGAUGACGAUGUAUCCCGAAGUUCACACCCUUGCGGAUGCUAAUCUUCGUUUGGAGCGGUGUGGAGGCACAAUGCUCCCCAAGAAGCCACUAGGGCCACCGUAAUCUCCUCACGCCCUCGCACAAUGCAAGAUGCCGUGAUUCCACUAAGGGACCCUUGAGGGCGGUCACCGAACCCGUACAAAUGGCAACCCUUGGGGGCGGUCACCGAACCCGUACACUUUGGCAACCCUUGGGGGCGGUCACCGGAACCCGUCAAAUUGCUCGGGGCGAUCUCCACAACCUAAUUGGAGACCCCGACGCUGCCCGGAGCUUUACACCACAAUGAUUGAGCUCCGAACACCACCAACCGUCUAGGGCGCCCAAGCACCCAAGAGGAACAAGCUCAAGGGUACCAAGCACCCAAGAGUAAUAAGCUUCUCAACUUGUAACUUCCACGUAUCACCGUGGAGAACUCAAACCGAUGCACCAAAUGCAAUGUCAAGGGCACACGGAGUGCCCAAGUCCUUCUCUCUCAAAUCCCAUCGAAGCAACUAAUGCUAGGGAGGAAAAUGAGAGGAAGAACAAGGAGAACACCAAGAACUCCAAGAUCUAGAUCCAAGGGGUUCCACUCACAUAGAGGAGAAAGUGAUUGGUGGAAAUGUGGAUCUAGAUCUCCUCUCUCUUUUCCCUCAAAACUAGCAAGAAUCCAUGGAGGGAUUGAGAGUUAGCAAGCUCGAAGAAGGUCAACAAUGGGGGAAGAACACGAGCUCAAAGGAUAAGGUUCAUUGGGGAAGAAGACCCCCUUUUAUAAGUGGGGAAAAUCCAACCGUUAUGGUCACAGCCUGCACCGAGCGGUACUACCGCUAGGGCGGUAGUAGCCCUUUGAAACACAACAACGAGGAGGCAAAAAAGCCAGAAGAACCGUCGGAGCGGUAGUACCGCUUGACCUCACGGUACUACCGCUAGGGGUAGCGGUACUACUGCUAAGGGUAGCGGUACUACUGCUUGCGAGCGGUAAUAAAAAAUUACAUCCGUGCCUACCACCGCUGGACUUGUGACGAGUUUUUGGUCCCGAGCGGAAGUAGCCAUGGAAGCAGCCACGGUAGUACUGCUCCAAGCGGUAGUACCGCUCCCAAGAGCGGUAGUAAAAAAUUACAUCCGCUCCUGUCCGCGGUAGUACCGCUGCAGCCUUUUCAGAACACCAAAACUGACACAACUUCUGCAAACGGACUCCGAAUUCGACGAAACCAAGUUUGUUGGAAAGCUAGCGACAAGGGCUAACACAAUCUUGAUAGAAAUACCAAUAAGAAGCAAAUGAGAAAAGGCCCAAAAGAAAAUGGUGAGAACCCUUCCUCGGAUAAGACCGGUAAAACGUCCAACAUCGAAAACAUCAUAGAAGACGCAUGCAAACUCCGUUUUCGAUGAACUCAAGCUUGUCAUCAAGAUGACCAUAAGCUCUAAGACUCACAAAGAGAACCAAACAAGAACCAAGAAACAUGAUGCAAGGAUGCAAUGGUUUGAGCUCUCGACGAACGAUACGAUCAAGCUACUCACUUGAGAGCCCCCCUUGAUAGUACGGCUAUCGAUCCUAUAACCUGGUCUCCCAACUACCACCAUGAGACCGGUAAAAUAGAAAACCUAUCAAGGGCAAACCUUUGCCUUGCACAUGGUCCACUUGAGCUAGAUGAUGACGAUCUUGACUCCCUCAAGUUGGACCACCUUUCUUGAUUGCGUUGGCUCGAUGAAGACUAGAUGAUUACUCGCCCAUAGUCCACUAUGGGUGAGCCACUCUUCGGCACAUCUUCACAAGUCCAUUGUCACCACAAUGGACGGCAAGCUUCAAGCACUUGAUCUCUUCGUGACGCUCCACUUGAACUUGCACACGGCAAUCUUGAUUACGAUCACCACUUGAUGACAUCCUCUCCAUGGGUUGAGUGAUAUCUUCCUCUUGACGCAAGCCCAUGAACACGUACCUAACCCCACAUAGAACUCUCACAUAGACCAUGGGUUAGUACACAAAGCACACUGGACAAUGCUUACCAUACCAUGGGAUCACUUGAUCCCUCUCGGUACAUCUUCUAGCUUUGUGAGUUGAUCAACUUGAUUCACUCUUGACUUAGUCUUGAUCAACCUAGAAUCUUUCCAACUCUCUUCAUUUGGAUGAUGUCUUGAAGGUAAACAUGAAUGAUCACACAAUCUUCUUCUUCAAGACAUGCUUGCAAUAAGCUCAACUCUCACAUGACCAAUCUUUGGAUAAUUCUUUAAUAGCACCUUGGUCAACACAAACUCUCCUUGAAACCAACACAUGUACUCCAAGAAAAGCCUAUGGACAAAACCUUCAAAUAUAACUCAAGGCAACCAUUAGUCCAUAGAGAUUGUUGUCAAUUACCAAAACCAAACAUGGGGGCGCCACAUGUUCUUUCAAUCUCCCCCAUUUUGGUAAUUGAUGACAAUCACUUUCAAGAGAGUUUAUAUAAUGAAUUAUGCAUCACCAUGCAAUGCAACAACUAAUGAUGCAUGAGUAAGAGAUGCAAAUGCUUAGGAACAAAACCAAAGCAAGAGGAGAGAAUUCUCUAAACUUCUUCACAAAACUCUCUGAAACUUCUCCCCCAUUGGCAUCGAUUGCCAAAAUGGGAGAAAAGCUUAGAAGGCCAAUAUAAAUUGUGUUCCUCCAUAAAUUUGUGUAUUUCUCAACAAGAGAGUGGAUGCAAUACACAAGUUUGACGGUAAAUACUAGGAGGAAAACAAACUAUAUUUAGGCCCAAAGUUUACAAAAGAAAGAUAUGCCACAAAGACAUAAGAAAGAGAGAAACAAGCAAACAAGGAAUCAAAAGAUACCAAUUGAAGCAAGCAAUCAACGGAUAUCAAUUGAGCCAACUAGAACAAUGAUCCUACGUGCCACAUGAAUGAAAUAAUUAUGAUAUGAGCAAAGGAGUGUUCUAGAGAAACUAGAGAAGCUCCCCAUGAUUUGUGCACAAUUUAGUUUUGUAACUGGAUACAACGAACACAAAAUAGGAUCGUCACUCCCCCAAGAUCAAUAGAACCUCACGACAAGUGCAAGAGAGCAACAGAGUGUUCUAAAGACACUAGUGAAGCUCUCCAUGGUUUGUGCACUUCUUACAAUAUUUGCAUUAGGAUACCGAGUGCACAAAAUAGGAUCAUCACUCCCCGAAAAUCAAUAGAAACUCACAACAAGUGCAAGUGAGCAUAUAGGAAACAAAGCCUAGCACUUGCAACAAACAAAUGGUUGAGCAACAUAUAAAAGAGGCAACUUAAGAGUAGGCUCAACCAAAAUGAUGUGUGUGAGUCAUGGCAAAGCACUUGAGAAGACUAAUGUACGAAUGAGCAUUAAGCAUCAACAUAGUCUUGGAUAGUGGAGAUACAAGGUGCAUGACAUGUCCUCCCCACACACACACCAAGCAAAAGGGUUCACAAGCACACUAAAAAUGCAAAAUGAAUAACCAACACUUGUGACAACCCAUGGUGUAGAAGAUGAAAGCCUCAUCAAGACGAGGGAUACCAAUUAAGAUGGCAAAAGCCUCGUAGAGAUAAGCAUGAGGAAAAUAAUCUUCACCACACAGGAGUGCAUCAAGAUGCAACGAGAUAAGACAUGCACUGAAGGAAAAAGCUUUCGCGGAGCCACCAAAGAAAUAACAAGAAAGACAAGGUGGACGUGAAAGAAAGGAUAUCAUCUAGAGAUGUAAUUUCUCUCAAGUGUAUAAGGUUCUAGGUAGACGAGAUCAUGAUGAUAUAUAUCUACAAAGAAGGAUGUACACCCGAAAUAGUUACAACACGAAGGAACAAGAUAUCCAAAAGGAAGUCAUAGAUAUACCAAUAAGAUAUUUGCUUGGAAGCAUAGCACAUGGCUAGAUAUUGUCUUAUUGUACAUAAAUGAAUUCCUACCACACAACCAUCAAAGACAUCACAACUAGCAACAAGAGAUCAUUGUUGGGAUGCUUUGAGAAAGGAAACAAGUAUCACAAGAGAGAAUGAAUAACAUGCCAUGAUACAACCUACACAAGGUUGAUGCAAGAAAUGUGUGCAUGAAGUAUAUGAAGAUACUUGUUACCGAGUUAACAUUGGAAGGAUGUAGUAGAUACCAAUUGAAGGUACAAAGUAGUUCAUUGAUCAUCCUAGCUUGACUCCAAAAAGCACAUGGUGACAACACCUUCCUUGUGAGUGAGCCGAGCAUCCAAUGCAUCUCCAAUUGUUCCUAGAACAACAACACAAACAAAAUGGUACCCAAACUCGUUGGGAUCAAAGAGUUAGAAACACCAAGAAUACAUAGGACAAACUCCACAUAAAUAUGUGCAUAUAGAUAUGGAAAUGAAGUUCAUGCACAUCUCAUCCAAUUUGAGACUUGGUGGAGUUUCCCCUAUAUAUUGGGUCAAAGAGAGAAAGCAUGCCACGGAAACUACAUGAAGUUAAUAUGCAUGCUCAAGACUUUCAAGAACCAAUACCAAAAUACAAGGAAAUACCAAGUGAAAAGAAUACCAAAUGGAGAAAUCAUCACUUGGAAGAUAUCAUUAAAAGAUACAUCAAGGAAUGAGAUAUCCAUUGGAACCCACAGAAUGAUAUCAAACUCCCAAAAGAGAGGAUGGUUCCAAACAAACCAAGCUCUCUACAAAGUUUCAUGAUGGCACAAGUACCAAAAAGAAACGGCUUGCCAUCCACCAACACACACUUAAAAUGGAUCACAAGUUUAGUGUUUUAUAGAAAAUAGGAUAGCUCCCCCACGAGUUGUGCAUUAUAGAGAAUUUGCAUUUGAAUACAAAAUGCACAAGGUAGGAUCACCACGUUCACUAUAUCAAGGAAAACACUAGACAAGAUCAAGAAAACAACAAGAUCCUCAAGUGGCAUGGAAGGCAAUGGGAGUUGACACAAACUUGGCAAGAGAUAAGGCAAAUAAAAAGCAAACGCCAACGUGAAGAUGAUCAAUAAUUUCUACCACACAUAAGUGAGUACCAAUUGUCAAAAGACAAGAGGUAUUUGGAAAUAAUUCCCGGUGGUAGAUAGCAAGGAUAUCCGACAUCAUCUUCACACCAAACACAAGCAAAUUGCAACUUGUAGAGCUAACAUGCCAUGUAGGAACAAGAUAAUUUACAAUAUCAAUUCUAGGUGACAAUAUCUCAAAUAUACACAUUUUCUAGGCUAGUAAUAUACAUAGCAUAUUACUCCCCCAUAAUGUGAUACCAAUUAAAGAAAACUUAACAAGAGGCAAAAAGAGGAUCCAACAAGAGAUAAUUAAUGGACUAUUUAGAAUUUGAAUUUCUAAUGAGAAGACAUACCACAUAGUGACUAGAUAAGCUUGCAAUAUCAAUACUAGGUGUAUUCCUCAUGUAAACACAUUUAUGGGACCGUUAGGUGCACAAAGCACAUCACUCCCCCAAAAUGGGAUGUUCCAUUAAUCUCUCACAAGAGCCAACUAACAUACAAACAAGACGCGCAAAGGCUCAACGCACUACACACACGUACAUGAUGUGCAAACCAACACACGCAUACUUAAUUACUCAAGAUAAGCAAAUAGGAGGCACAACAUAUACAACCACAUGCAAGGAACAAAACCAAAACAUGCAAAGGGGCAAGUAACUUUCGAUGUAAACAAUUUAAGUACAAGUUACCGGAAGGAGGCACAUUGAAUCUAGAAUAGAAACUUGAUAACCUAAUUGACUUGGCUUGAGACAAUAAGAAUGAUGAAGUCCCCUUAAAUCUUCAUAAUGUAGCCAAGUCUCCAAUGCCCUCCAACAACACCUAUUGAUCAAGUUUGAGCUAGUUGGUCCCCAACCAAGUUGGGUCCUAAGAGGUUAGUCACAAUAGGCUUGGCUACCCAAAUGGUUCUUUUCUUGACACCACUUUGAGCACCAACAAAUUUGGCAAACACAUGGCCAACAUUAUCCUUCCCAAGAGAAUAGAUAUCAUCAAUAAUAAUUGGGUUGGAUAAGUUACCACUAGUGCAUGAAGAGGCGAGGUGACCUUUCUCACGACAUAAGUAGCAACGUCUACUCUUCACUUUCUUCUCACUUGAUUUCUCAACUUGAGAAGCAUUAGCUUGAGGAUUCUUGGGAAGAGGACUUUCUUCAACUUGUGGUUGAGCAUGAGAUCGAACUUGUGGCCGCUUCCCUUGUUGCUUGUCACUAAUGGCCUUCUUCUUCAAUGGGCAAGAUCUAACAUGAUGCCCUUCUACUUUGCACUUGAAGCAAACAAUCUUGGCCGAAUUCUUGACUUGUUCUUGGCCCUUCUUUUUGUUCAUCUUGGACUUCUUCUUCUUGUUGGAGUUGAAUCCAAGUCCACCUUUGUCAUUGGGGGAUUUUUGCACUCUCAAGAUGUUGUUGAGUGUAAAUUUCCCUUCAUGACUCUUUUCCAAGUCUUUCUUCAAAGAAGUGACUUGGGCCUUGAUCUCUUUGAUUUCCUCUACAUGGUUAGUCUCAACACAAGCACUAGAGGAAGUAUAAGCUUCAUCGUUAGAGCAACAAGGCAAGGAAAGCAAUUCAUCACAAGAUGUACCAACGUUAUGCAUGGAUGAAUCGCGAGGACUAGCACAAGGCAAUAUAGCAUUUUGACUAAAAGUAGUGCUAGUGUCCACAUGAGGCUCACUAGAUGUUACCUUAGCAAUCAUGGCCUCAUGAGCUAUCUUUAGCACAUUAUGGGAUACUAGAAGAUCAUCAUGAGAGCUUGAGAGCUUUUCAUGGCUUUCUUCCAAUUUCCCAUAAUUGCUAGAUAGCAACUCAAGUUGAGCCCGUAGCUCAACGUUCUCCUUUAAAAUGGAUGCUUCACAAGAAAUAGAGUUAGUAGCACAAGCAUCAUCAUUAACAACAAGAGGAGAAGGCAACUUGGCAAGCUCUUUUAAAUAAGAAGCUUCAAGUUGAGCAUGAGACUCGGUGAGUUUGAUGAGCUCACCCUUGAUGACCAUUGAGCCAUUUUCGAGGUGCUCAAAAUCCUCAAGGAGUCUAGCAUGAGCAACUUCAAGCUUAGCAUUUUUAGUUUCAAAAACAUUGGCCACCUCAAGAGCUCUAUCAUGAGAUUCCUUCACUCUAGAUAACUCUAGAGCAAAAGUCUCCUCAAGAGAUUCCUUGGUGGUUUGUUCAAGUUCAAGAGCUUGAGAGAGGUCCGCAAUCUCAUUAGCGUAAUCACGCUCAUGACCUUCCAUUUUAUCAAUGGUGACCUCAUGCUCCUCAAGACGAGAUUCCAACUCAUCAAUAUAUUUCUUGCCCUCAGUAGCAAUAGACAUGAUUUCCAUGAAGUUGGAACGAGCAAUUUUAUUCUUAAGAAGAGCUUUAAAAAUUAUUUCCCCCUUAACUUUUAAGGAGGCAACAUCAUCAUUCUCUUCAUCAUAAUCGACAUCAUCAUCACUCUUGCCAUCAUCAAUAUUAUCACAAGAUAUAUUGGGAUUCAAAGUGGGACCCUUUGAAGCCUUGGCCAUAAGGCAAAAAGCAAUAGAUGAUGAUGUGGGAUCCCUUGAAGCACCAUUCAAGACCACAACUUGUUCCAUGGAGUGUUGGGUUUCCUCUACAUUGUUAGCACAACAACUCGAGGAAAUACAUGCAUUUUUAUCAUGCCAACAAGACAUAGCAAGCAUAUCAUCAUGAGAUUUAGUCAAGCAAUUUGUACAUGAUGUGCAAGGACUAUCAACACAAGCAUGUGAAACAUUUGGAGUGCUCGAAGUGCUAGAGUCCAAAGAUGAAGCAUCGCAACAAGAAAGUGAUGAAGGAUUAUCAAAACUAAGCCCACUAUCAUCAUUGCAAUGAACACCACUACUCACCAUGUCAUUACCUUGUGGCAAACCACAUGUAGGUGAAGUAGAAGAAGUUGAGAACACAACACGACUGGAGGUGGAGGGAGAACAAUCAUCCCCACAAAACUUGGACACACCAUAUUUAUCUUGAAGCUUUGUCCACAACUCAUGAGCAUCCCGGAAAGGCAUGAGUUGAAAUAUAACUACAUUGCUCAAAGCAUCGAAAAGCAUAUUAGAAGCUUGAGCAUUGAGAUAAGAGUUUUUCUCAUCCUCUAAAGAUAAUCUUUGGGGAUCUUUUGGAGGAGAAAAACCCAUAUCUACAAUUCGCUCUAAAUUUGGGUCCAUGACCCUAAAGAGAUUAAGCAUGCGAAUUACCAAAACAUCAAAAUUUGUGCCAUAGAAACUAAGUGUGUCACAGAAUCCUAAUCCCCUAGUCGAUAUCUUUACUCUCUAGGCGGUUAAGCCUAACAAAGAGAGACGAGGCUCUGAUACCAAUUGAAAGAUCAUGGAUGUCGCCUAGAGGGGGGGGGGUGAAUAGGCGCUUUAAAAUAAUUACGGUUGAGGCUUGAACAAAUGCGGAAUAAACCUAGCGGUUAAUUUGUCAAGCACAAAACCUACAACAACUAGGCUCACCUAUGUGCACCAACAACUUAUGCUAAGCAAGAAAAACUACUUAGGUGAUAGCAAGAUAUAUGACAAGAAACAAUAUGGCUAUCACAAAGUAAAGUGCAUAAGUAAAGGGCUCGGGUAAGAGAUAACCGAGGCACGCGGAGACGACGAUGUAUCCCGAAGUUCACACCCUUGCGGAUGCUAAUCUCCGUUUGGAGCGGUGUGGAGGCACAAUGCUCCCCAAGAAGCCACUAGGGACACCGUAAUCUCCUCACGCCCUCGCACAAUGCAAGAUGCCGUGAUUCCACUAAGGGACCCUUGAGGGCGGUCACCAAACCCGUACAAAUGGCAACCCUUGGGGGCGGUCACCGAACCCGUACACUUUGGCAACCCUUGGGGGCCGUCACCGGAACCCGUCAAGUUGCUCGGGGCGAUCUCCACAACCUAAUUGGAGACCCCGACGCUUGCCCAGAGCUUUACACCACAAUGAUUGAGCUCCGAACACCACCAACCGUCUAGGGCGCUCAAGCACCCAAGAGGAACAAGCUCAAGGGUACCAAGCACCCAAGAGUAAUAAGCUUCUCAACUUGUAACUUCCACUAUCACCGUGGAGAACUCAAACCGAUGCACCAAAUGCAAUGGCAAGGGCACACGGAGUGCCCAAGUCCUUCUCUCUCAAAUCCCACCGAAGGAACUAAUGCUAGGGAGGAAAAUGAGAGGAAGAACAAGAAGGAGAACACCAAGAACUCCAAGAUCUAGAUCCAAGGGGUUCCCCUCACAUAGAGGAUAAAGUGAUUGGUGGAAAUGUGGAUCUAGAUCUCCUCUCUCUUUUCCCUCAAAAACUAGCAAGAAUCCAUGGAGGGAUUGAGAGUUAGCAAGCUCGAAGAAGGUCAACAAUGGGGGAAGAACACGAGCUCAAAGGAUAAGGUUCAUUGGGGAAGAAGACCCCCUUUUAUAGGUGGGGAAAAAUCCAACCGUUAUGGUCACAGCCCGCACCGAGCGGUACUACCGCUCCAAGGAGCGGUACUACCGCUAGGGCGGUAGUAGCCCUUUGAAACACAACAGCGAGGAGGCAAAAAAGCCAGAAGAACCGUCAGAGCGGUAGUACCGCUUGACCUCACGGUACUACCGCUAGGGGUAGCGGUACUACUGCUAAGGGUAGCGGUACUACUGCUUGCGAGCGGUAAUAAAAAAUUACAUCCGUGCCUACCACCGCUGGACUUGUGACGAGUUUUUGGUCCCGAGCGGAAGUAGCCGCGGUAGUACUGCUCCAAGCGGUAGUACCGCUCCCAAGAGCGGUAGUAAAAAAUUACAUCCGCUCCUGUCCGCGGUAGUACUGCUGCAGCCUUUUCAGAACACCAAAACUGACACAACUUCUGCAAACGGACUCCGAAUUCGACGAAACCAAGUUUGUUGGAAAGCUAGCGACAAGGGCUAACACAAUCUUGAUAGAAAUACCAAUAAGAAGAAAAUGAGAAAAGUCCCAAAAGAAAAUGAUGAGAACCCUUCCUCGGAUAAGACCGGUAAAACCUCCAACAUCGAAAACAUCAUAGAAGACGCAUGCAAACUCCGUUUUCGAUGAACUCAAGCUUGUCAUCAAGAUGAACAUAAGCUCUAAGACUCACAAAGAGAACCAGACAAGAACCAAGAAACAUGAUGCAAGGAUGCAAUGGUUUGAGCUCUCGACGAACGAUACGAUCAAGCUACUCACUUGAGAGCCCCCCUUGAUAGUACGGCUAUCGAUCCUAUAACCCGGUCUCCCAACUACCACCAUGAGACCGGUAAAAUAGAAAACCUAUCAAGGGCAAACCUUUGCCUUGCACAUGGUCCACUUGAGCUAGAUGAUGACGAUCUUGACUCCCUCAAGUUGGACCGCCUUUCUUGAUUGCGUUGGCUCGAUGAAGACUAGAUGAUUACUCCCCCAUAGUCCACCAUGGGUGAGCCACUCUUCGGCACAUCUUCACAAGUCCAUUGUCACCACAAUGGACGGCAAGCUUCAAGCACUUGAUCUCUUCGUGACGCUCCACUUGAACUUGCACACGGCAAUCUUGAUUACGAUCACCACUUGAUGACAUCCUCUCCAUGGGUUGAGUGAUAUCUUCCUCUUGACGCAAGCCCAUGAACACGUACCUAACCCCACAUAGAACUCUCACAUAGACCAUGGGUUAGUACACAAAGCACAAUGGGCAAUGCUUACCAUACCAUGGGAUCACUUGAUCCCUCUCGGUACAUCUUCUACGCUUUGUGAGUUGAUCAACUUGAUUCACUCUUGACUUAGUCUUGAUCAACCUAGAAUCUUUCCAACUCUCUUCAUUUGGAUGAUGUCUUGAAGGUAAACAUGAAUGAUCACACAAUCUUCUUCUUCAAGACAUGCUUGCAAUAAGCUCAACUCUCACAUGACCAAUCUUUGGAUAAUUCCUUAAUUGCACCUUGGUCAACACAAACUCUCCUUGAAACCAACACAUGUACUCCAAGAAAAGCAUAUGGACAAAACCUUCAAAUAUAACUCAAGGCAACCAUUAGUCCAUAGAGAUUGUCGUCAAUUACCAAAACCAAACAUGGGGGCACCACAUGUUCUUUCAUCUGAUGAAAUAGCCAACUUGGAGCUCGAGAUCGCGCUCCAGAUGUACCGCGAGCGUGUCGGCCGCUUGGACGAACGCCAACACGAGUUCAGGCAGAGCCAAGAGCUAUCAUAGGCAAGGGCUGCUGGUCAUGGUCUCAUGGACGCGUUUUAUUUUGUUGAGUCGUUUCGACGUGGAUAGCUAUGUAUUCACAACAAUCAUAGUAUUGCUCUGUUUCAAUGUGUGUACUCUGUUUUCCGUUGUUAUAUGUUCUGUUUCAAUGUGUGUACAUACGCUUUCCAUUCUGUAUAUGUGGAUGAUAACAGCUAGAUUCAAAUUAGUAUACGAAAACAGAUAGAAAAUGGAAUUCAUAAUACACACACACAUAUAUAUAUAUAUAUUAAUUGUUCAUUAGUUUAUCACAAAAAAUAUAUAAUAUCAUCACAUAUACGUGAUGAUACUUAACUACUAGGUACAAUGCAUAAAAUUGAGAACAAAUAAUACUAGAACUAAUAAUCCCUCCUGGGGCCAGUAUUCUGGAGCCCCUCGCCAGCAGCUCCAUGGUGCGCGGUGUCUUCCCAAUGCGGAGGCAGUACUCCACCUCCCCUUCCUCGGAGCGCUUGACGUAUCAAUCUGCCUCUUACUGGCGUACGAGCGCGAACGAUCUUGCCAUUUCGUUGGGUGCCCACUGGAGCUCCUCGUCGGUGACACGUUGGAGCUUAUCGCCCACCUCCAUGUAGCGAUGAGGCGCCCAGCGCGUUUGACCUUCCUUGCGAAGUACCCGUCUUUGUACAGCUCCUCCGCACGACGACGCGCCCGCCCCCAAAGCUCCGCCACCUCCUUUUUCCAGGCGGCAUCACGGGCUUCACAGGCCGCCGUACCUGGCUUCCUCCUCCGCCAUCUCCUUCUUAAAUGCCACUUGCCUGGCUUUCUCAGUCGGCAGCAGCAACUUCCACAGACAAAGAUUGUACUGGCCCCAAUCCAAAGUUGGGGGGGUCCAGUGCAACCUCGUUCGGCGGCGCGUAGGGGUCCUCGUCGCUGCUAUUUGAGUGAGCGUCCUCGGGGGGGCGGCGACUCCUCGUAGGAGCGUGGGAAGACCGGCGGCGCCAUGGCAGAAAUUUGAGAGAGAGAGAGAGGGUGAGCAAGGGUAGGAUGUAGAUGAGAAUGCAGGCAGGACGACCUGAGCAAGGUAGUAUUUAUUGGCGGCCGGAAUCUAGAUCGACCGGAACCGUACACACGCCAGUCUCCGGAAUUUACGAGUACUGUAGUUUGAAUUACACACGAUUCCCGCAGCAAAAUCCGUGUGUGAACAUAAUAGCUGACGGUUUCCAAUACAGAACCGUGUCUGAUUAAUGACCCCCGCCACUCACCUACCAAACCUCGAGCCGCGAAUAGUGCCAACCGUGUAGGGGCCAGUUGUCUUGCCACAUCUUUAUAUCUUGUGAACACCAGAUAUUUACAUUGUCUGAUGAUUUUUUAACUCGCACACAAGUACACAAAAUAUGAUUUUUCAAACCUUUAUGGUUAGCCAUUGCAUGUUGAUGUAGUUCAAAUUUGAAUUACGGUCAUUAAAUGGCUAGCAAAUCACUUAAAUGUCUUUAAAAGGUCAAAUGACCCCUAGAAUUUUCCAAAUUUUCACAUGACAGUUGUAGUAGUGCACGUUAAACGUAGAAAAAAAUUUGAAGGCUGUAAGAGGAAGCUAUCUCCCAUUCGUCAUCAAAUAUGCAUUGUUCCCUCUCGGAACCACGAUCCUUCUAGUGAGUUGCUCCGGUUUGUGAGGGGUGUGUGUCCAAACUUUCGUCAAACAGGCCAAUUUUUUUUACCACAUCGUCUUGGUGGCAUGACAUUACAUCAAGCAAGGUUUCAUGUUUUUUUGAUCAUUUUUAAAUUUUUUGGAAUUAAAAUGCCAUGGCACUCCAUGCAUGUGUCCAUGCCGUGAGACCAAUAUGUUUGAAAAUUCCUUCUAAUUUACUUCACAUGGAAUUAACUCGCACACAAGUACACAAAUAUGAUUUUUCAAACCAUUAUGGUUAGCCGUUGCAUGUAGAUGAAGUUCAAAUUUGAAUUACGGUCAUUAAAUGGCUAGAAAAUCACUUAAAUGUCUUUAAAAGGUCAAAUGACGCCUGAAAUUUUCCAAAUUUCACAUGAUAGUUAUAUUACUGCACGUUAAAUGUAGAAAAAAUUUGAAGGCCGUAAGAGGAAGUUAUCUCCCGUUCGUCAUCAAACAUGCAUUGUUCCCUCUCGGAACCACGAGCCUUCUAGUGAGUUGCUCCGGUUUGUGAGGGGGGUGUGCCCAAACUUUCAUCAAGCAGGCCAAUUUUUUUACCACAUCAUCUUGGUGGCAUGACAUUACAUCAAGCAAGGUUUCAUGUUUUUCUGAUCAUUUUUUUAGUUUUUGGAAUUUAAAUGCCAUGGCAAGCACUCCAUGCAUGUGUCCAUGCCGUGAGACCAAUAUGUUUGAAAAUUCCUUCUAAUUUAUUGCACAUGGAAUUAACUCGCACACAAGUACACAAAUAUGAUUUUUCAAACUGUUCUGGUUAGCUGUUGCUUGUAGAUGUAGUUCAAAUUUGAAUUACGGUCAUUAAAUGGCUAGAAAAUCACUUAAAUGUCUAUAAAAGGUCAAAUGACCCCUGAAAUUUUCCAAAUUUUCACAUGACAGUUGUAUUACUGCACGCUAAAUGUGGAAAAAAAUUGAAAGCCGUAAGGGGAAGCUAUCUCCUGUUCGUCAUGAAACAUGCAUUGUUCCCUCUCGGAAACAUGAGCCUUCUAGCGAGUUGCUUCGGUUUGUGAGGGGUGUGUGUCCAAACUUUCGUCAAACAUGCCAAUUUUUUUACCACAUCAUCUUGGUGGCAUGACAUUACAUCAAGCAAGGUUUCAUGUGUUUCUGAUCAUUUUUUUAUUUCUUGGAAUUAAAAUGCCAUGGCACUCCAUGCAUGUGUCCAUGUCGUGAGACCAAUAUGUUUGAAAAUUCCUUCUAAUUUACUGCACAAGGAAUUAACUCGCACUCAAGUACAAAAAUAUGAUUUUUCAAACCGUUAUGGUUAGCCGUUGCAUGUAGAUGUAGUUGAAAUUUUAAUUACGGUCAUUAAAUGGCUAGAAAAUCACUUAAAUGUCUUUAAAAGGUCAAAUUACCCCUAGAAUUUUCCAAAUUUUCACAUGAUAGUUGUAGUAGUGCAUGUUAAACAUAGAAAAAAUUUGAAGGCCGUAAGAGAAAUCUAUCUCCCGUUCAUCAUCAAACAUGCAUUGUUCCCUCUCGGAACCACGAGCCUUCUAGUGAGUUGCUCCGGUUUGUGAGGGGUGUGUGUCCAAACUUUCAUCAAACAGGCCAAUUUUUUUACCACAUCAUCUUGGUGGCAUGACAUUACAUCAAGCAAGGUUUCAUGUUUUUUUGAUCAUUUUUUAAUUUCUUGGAAUUAAAAUGCCAUGGCACUUCAUGCAUGUGUCCAUGCCGUGAGACCAAUAUGUUUGAAAAUUCCUUCUAAUUUAUUGCACAUGAAAUUAAAUCGCACACAAGUACACAAAUAUGAUUUUUCAAACUGUUAUGGUUAGCCGUUGCAUGUAGAUGUAAUUCAAAUUUGAAUUACGGUCAUUAAAUGGCUAGAAAAUCACUUAAAUGUCUUUAAAAGGUCAAAUGACCCCUGAAAUUUUCCAAAUUUUCACAUGACAGUUGUAUUAGUGCAUGUUAAAUGUAGAAAAAUUUGAAGGCCAUAAGGGGAAGCUAUCUCCCGUUCAUCAUCAAACAUGCAUUGUUCCCUCUCGGAAACACGAGCCUUCUAGUGAGUUGCUUCGGUUUGUGUGGGGUGUGUGUCCAAACUUUCGUCAAACAUGCCAAUUUUUUUACCACAUCAUCUUGGUGGCCUGACAUUACAUCAAGCAAGGUUUUAUGUGUUUCUGAUAUUUUUAAUUUUUUGGAAUUUAAAUGUCAUGGCACUCCAUGCUUAGUUGUGUCAUAGCCGUUAGACCAAUAUGUUUGAAUAGUCCUUCCAAUUACUACACAUGGAACUAAAUCGCACACAAGUACACAAAAUAUGACCUUUCAAACCGUUAUGGUUAGCUGUUGCAUGUACAUGUAGUUCAAAUUUGAAUUACGGCCAUUAAAUUGCUAGAAAAUCACUUAAAUGUCUUAAAAGGUCAAAUGACCCCUGAAAUUUUCCAAAAUUUUACAUUACAGUUGUAUUAGUACUACAAAUUUUCUCAUACAUUUAAAACACCAUCCGUUGCCACUUUACUCCAAAUUCGUCUUUCACAGCUAAUAAAAAAUAUCCACAACAUCACACAAUUUUUUUGUAGGCCCGUUCGCGAUGAAAAUUUCGGGGUCUAUUUAAGUCUUCCUCCUUAAGCUUCACCGGCUCGUCUGCUCCAGUGCUGGCAACCCUUGAAUCCACGAAUGUCGAUCCCCAUUCCCACACCGCCUUCUUGCAAAGAUGACGUCGUGGAAAUGCUUCGUGAAGGCCUGUACGAUGGUCGCCUCCUCCCCGAGCGCCACCGCCUAUGCCGAGAGCGCGGCCGCCUACGCCGAGAGUGCCGCCGCAUCCACCGAGAGGGCGUCUGCGGCAGCCGACAGGGCAGCUACAGCGACGGCAUGUGGCUGCUACUGCGACGGUGGCUGCAAACGCCGAGAGCGCUCGAGCUGUCGUCCGUGCCGCCGAUGUCGCCCUGGCCCGGGUCGAGGCCAUCCACACCAAGAUCGAGGACGCACAUGCCAAGAUAUUCCAGGCCACCUCGGAAUCCAGCAAGCAACCCACAUACGAAAAUGCGGCAGUGGCCAUGGAGCACCUGCUUCCUCAUGAGAUCGCCGAGCGGGCGCUCGAGAUGCAGGAGGUGGCGGAGAUCUAGGAGCGCCGGGAGGAGGAGUUGCGCGUGGCCGAGCUCGAGGUAGAGAAGAUUCUGUCCGUCGAGGAAUCAGCGGUGGAGUACCAAUGUGAGCUCUGGCGCAACCACUACUACGAGUACUACAACCUUGAGGACGGCGCCGAGGACGAGGACGAGGACGCGGUCGACUUCAGCAGGGGGGACGCGGAGUCCUCCAACGGCGGCAUUUCGCCAGGACAAGUCAUUAACCUCUCAUCUCACACCGGCGAUGCAUAGGCCGGCGCGGCAGCGGAUUUGUUAAAAUUAUGCGCACUUAGGCUUUUUUAAUGCUGGUCUUUUGUUAGAGCAAUGUUUAGGUCAACUGGCUCUGUUUAAUUACUAAAAUUGCUCGAUUCAGUAAGUGUGGUCUGUGUGCUGUACGCUCUUUUGUGUGCCUAAAUUUGGAAGCAAUGUUAAAUUAUGCAAUGAUGUACCUGGGGAAAUUUCCACCAAAAUUUGAAUUAUCAAACUCAUCCCAUGCACGUAAAGCAGAAGAAUCGUUUGCGAUGCACACAAUCGUUCAAAGUGAAUGGUGUCCGGCGGCACCGCAUGCAAAGUUUCCCUCCACAUUUCCAAAAUUUUGGCCUACCGCCAAAAUAUCUACCCCCCUUCCCCACCCCCUUUUCUCCUUGACCAAAAGUCACAUUUCCCCUGUUUCCUCAUUCCUUCCUUCCUUGCUAAGCUAUAGCCGCUUCCUCGCUUUCACCGUCUCGCAUCCUACCGCCGGGGUCGCCAUGGUCUUCUUCAAUGACCUCUCCAGCGGUUCAUCCUCCGAUGACGACUACUUCACCACCCGGGUAUGCCUCUCUUCUCUCUCUUGGGCUAUCACUUGGAAUGAAGAAUUUUAACCCGGCGGUCGAUUUGAGUCAUUUCUUCCUCUUGUAGCUCCCUAGGACCAUCAUUUGCAAAGAAUGGAGCGGGGUGGCUGAAGAUCUGUCUGCUCGUUGUCACCAUCAAUCUCCAUGCGUGAAGCUAGUUGCGUUUGAAUCUGUGGACAGUGGGAGGAAGUUUCUGGCAUGUGCAGAGAAGGUGAGACCCUCUUUCGUUGUUACAAAUCAUUUGUUAGAUGUGAUUUAGACACUGCCAUGGUCCCAACCCAUUCAUACCACACCAUCAACCAAACGCAUCCUAAGACAGUGUCACAGUUUGUACCUAGUAUAUAAAAAUGUUGCCAUAUCAGCGGUGCCAUUAGAAAAUUAUUUGGCACUGCUUCAGUAGUUUGUGCAACCAACUUUGGUCCACACAUCCGAGCAGCCAAGCAGUAAAAUACUAAAUCUUUAUGGCACGAAGGAACUGGGCAUCAGAGCAACUAGGUGCUCCGGAGUCCGGGUCCCUGAUUUUUUCCGCUGCAUCGGCUCGCCAGUGCAGGGCACCGGUGCGAGAUGUAGCAACAAUUGUCUUUACACCGGUUUUGGCAUACAAAGUGGACGGCCUUAGUGCUAUUAGUUCUCUGUUACUAAAUUUGUGCAUGUACACACCUGUUAGUAUCAAUUUGCUAUCAUCCAAACCCUGUCGCUAUGCUGUUGCAGUUCUAUUUACCUUCCUCAUAAAAUGUUCAAUUUGUUAUUUAUAGUACAUGAGUAAGAACUUGUAGCAUUAUUGUAGUUAAUUAUAGCUUCUGAUGUUUCAGAAUUUGGUUGUUGUCUCAGUAGAAAUUAAUUCAUUUGCACACUGAUUGUUUUGAGAAGAUAUGUCAUAAUUAACCUGUUUCUUUAGUUUUUUAAAAUAAGUAUUGGUGAUUUUCUAUGUUGCUAUAAACCCAUUUCCCCUACAAUUUUUAUUGAUCUAGUUUUAAAUAUUAUAGGAUGAACAGAAGUGUUCUUACUUGGAGUGGGUUGAUCAAGAGUGGCCACAGUCUUUGAAGAUGUGCCUAGUAAAGCUCUAGAGCAUGUAUGAGGAAGAGAACAGAGGUAGGCUUAGAGAAAGUGUUGUCAAUGUUGAAGAAUAUUUGAAGAUGCGGGAUAAAAAGAGGAAGGUGGAGAAUGAGCUCAGAUUUUUUAAAUCAGACUUUGUUAAGAUGGUGUUGGCGAAGGAGGAGGCACUUUCCCAGUUGGACAGUGCAAAACAGGUUCUUACUGAACUGAAAGCAGAGGUGGAUAAGACGUCCCUGGAUGAUCUCGAUUAGGGAAAUGUUUAUAUUGUUCUAAUAUUGUUCUUAUGAAGUUGAACUAGCUAUAUGCUGUACUAUGCUGUUUUCAGGUAGCUAUCGUACUGUGAUGUUAAAAUAUAUUUAUGUGCCUGAUAUGAAAUUGGCAAACAACUGUUCGAUAUGAAAUGUGAAUUUGCGUAAUACUGGAAUUAUUAAUUGUAAACUAAUAAACCUGCUAAAUGGGUCAUGGAACUUCGCAAACGGUUCUGGCAGUAAAAGCGCUUGUGAUGGAUAGCCCAAUGCCACAUAGUUUUCUUCAUCAAAUCGUGUGUGAUGUAAUUGAUAAAAGCAAGCGGUUAACCAAGGCAGAGCGUGUGUGAUAGUUACACUUUUCACACACGAGCCUAUACAUAAAACUGUGUGGGAUGUACAUACGAACGAAAACGUUUUCCCUGGAUUGACUGUGUGGGAUGUACAUAAGAACGGAAACGUAUUCCUUGGAUUGACUGUGUAUGAUAUUGAUACGUCUCUAACUUAUAUAAUUUUUGAUUGUUCCAUGCUAUUAUAUUAUCCAUCUUGGAUGUUUUAUAUGCAUUUAUAUGCUAUUUUAUAUGAUUUUUGGGACUAACCUAUUAACCUAGAGCCCAGUGCCAGUUUAUGUUUUUCCUUGUUUUUGAGUUCUAUAGAAAAGGAAUACCAAACGGAGUCCAAUUGAUGUGCCAAUUUUUGAUGAUUUUUUAUGGACCAAAAGAAGCCCUCGGAGUAAAGUAGUUGGGCCAGAAGAGUCCUGAGCCGUCCACGAGGGUGGAGGGCGAGCCUUACCCCCAUAGGCGCGCCCCCUGCAUCGUGGACGACUCGGAGGCCCCCCCUGACGUGAGACUGACACCAAAAAUUCCUAUAAAUACAGAAACCCACGAAAAGAAACCUAGAUCGGGAGUUCCGCCGCUGCAAGCCUCCGUAGCCACCAAAAACCAAUCGGGACCCUGUUUUGGCACCCUGCCGAAGGGGGGAUCCCUCACCGGUGGCCAUCUUCAUCAUCCCGGCGCUCUCCAUGACGAGGAGGGAGUAGUUCACCCUCGGGGCAGAGGGUGUGUACCAUUACCUAUGUGUUUGAUCUCUCUCUCUCUCUCUCUCUCUCUCUCUCUCGUGUUCUUGAUUUGACACGAUCUUGAUGUAUCGUGAGCUUUGCUAUUAUAGUUGGAUCUUAUGAUGUUUCUCCCCCUCUAUCCCCUUGUGAUGAAUUGAGUUUUCCCUUUGAAGUUACCUUAUCGGAUUGAGUCUUUAAGGAUUUGAGAACACUUGAUGUAUGUCUUUCAUGUGCUUAUCUGUGGUGACAAUGGGAUAUUCACGUGAUCCACUUGAUGUAAGUUUUGGUGAUCAACUUGCGAGUUCUCUGACCUUGUGAACUUAUGCAUAGGGGUUGGCACAUGUUUUCGUCUUGACCCCCCGGUAGAAACUUUGAGGCACUCUUUGAAGUUCUUUGUGUUGGUUGAAUAGAUGAAUCUGAGAUUGUGUGAUGCAUAUCGUAUAAUCAUACCCACAGAUACUUGAGGUGACAUUGGAGUAUCUAGGUGACAUUAGGGUUUUGGUUGAUUUGUGUCUUAAGGUGUUAUUUUACUACGAACUCUAGGGCUGUUUGUGACACUUAUAGGAAUAGCCCAAUGGAUUGAUCGGAAAGAAUAACUUUGAGGUGGUUCCGUACCCUACAAUAAUCUCUUCGUUUGUUCUCCGCUAUUAGUGACUUUGGAGUGACUCUUUGUUGCACGUUGAGGGAUUGUUAUAUGAUCUAAUUAUGUUAUUAUUGUUGAGAGAACUUGCAUUAUUGAAAGUAUGAACCCUAGGCCUUGUUUAGAAGCAUUGCAAUACCGUUUACACUCACUUUUGCUACUAGUUACCUUGCUGUUUUUAUAUUUUCAGAUUACAAAAACCUAUAUCUACCAUCCAUAUUGCACUUGUAUCACCAUCUCUUCGCCGAAAUAGUGCACCUAUACAAUUUACCAUUGUAUUGGGUGUGUUGGGGACACAAGAGACUAUUUGUUAUUUGGUUGCAGGGUUGUUUGAGAGAGACCAUCUUCAUCCUAUGCCUCCCACGGAUUGAUAAACCUUAGGUCAUCAACUUGAGGGAAAUUUUCUAUUGUCCUACAAACCUCUGCACUUGGAGGCCCAACAACAUCUACAAGAAGAAGGUUGUGUAGUAGACAUCAUAUAUACAUACGGACGAAAACGUUUUCCCUGGAUUGACUGUGUGGGAUGUACAUAAGAACGGAAACGUAUUCCUUCGAUUGACUGUGUGUUAUAUACAUAAGAAUGGAAAUGUUUUUCUGGGAUUCACCGUGUGGUAUGUACAUACGAACGGAAACGAUUGGGUUUUGAUGCCUCGCCCGAUAGCACACGAGCUCAUUUUGCCCCAGCCUGUGUGCUAGGAGGGCCUAUCCCCGACGGUUUCUGGGUCGUGUGGGAAGUACCCCCCCUAUCGCCCACACUCACUUGGCGACGGUUCCAAAUGCCGUCAUGGAAAGGGGUUCAAAUCUGUUUGUAUAGCACCGACGCGUACCAGUGUUAACAGCAUGCAAAUACAACCCAAAAGUUCCCCCGUUAAACCACAGUCGCGCUAUGAACCUACCAUAAUCUCUUUGUUUGUUCUCCGCUAUUAGUGACUUUGGAGUGACUCUUUGUUGCAUGUUGAGGGAUAGUUAUAUGAUCCAAUUAUGUUAUUAUUGUUGAGAGAACUUGCACUAUUGAAAGUAUGAACCCUAGGCCUUGUUUCCUAGCAUUGCAAUACCGUUUGUGCUCACUUUUAUCAUUAGUUACGUUGCUGUUUUAUAUUUUCAGAUUACAAAAACCUAUAUCUACCAUCCAUAUUGCACCUGUAUAACCAUCUCUUCGCCGAACUAGUGCACCUAUACAAUUUACCAUUGUAUUGGGUGUGUUGGGGACACAAGAGACUCUUUGUUAUUUGGUUGCAGGGUUGUUUGAGAGAGACCAUCUUCAUCCUACGCCUCCCAUGCACUACAGGAAACAACUACUUUGCCGUCUGCCAUGGCGGACGGCAAAGGCUUGAAAGGCGGACGGCAAAGACCUUUGCCGUCAGCUGCGGACGGCAAAAGGCUCCGGCAAAGAAGGCUACGGUAAACAGCUGCUUUGCCGUCUGCUUCCUGGCGGCGGACGGCAAAGGCUCUUUGCCAUCUGCGGCGGACGGCAAAGAGGGCGGACGGCAAUAAUUGCGCUGUCAGUCCGUUAAGUGGCUAACGGCAGACCUUUGCCGUCCGCCGCAGACGGCAAAGAGCCUUUGGUCUUUGCCGUCCGCCUUAUGAUGUCAUCUACACGUCACUAGAUGGCAGGUUCUUUGCUGUCUGCCACUGAUGGCAAAGUGCAGGUUCUUUGCCGUUUGCCACGGACGGCAAAGUCUUUGCCGUCUGCCACUGUAGGCAAACUGACCAAAUGGGUCAGCUCCCAGGAAGCACAGUUGGCUGCCACGUGGCUUCUUUGCCGUCCGCGGCAGACGGCAAAGAGCUCUUUGCCGUCGGUGGCAGACGGCAAAGAGCCUGCAUAUUGUCUGUUUUUUCUGCUUUUUAUUAAAUCCCACAAUUUGCAGCACAUAUCACAUAUAUAAGUUUCAUAUCCAGCACAUAUCCAACACAUAUCUAGCACAUAAGUUUCAUAUCACAUAUCACAUCAGUUUCAUCCAUACACAUUGUUCAUACAUAAGGAAGUUCCAUCCAUACACAUUGUUCCAUCCAUAUAUAUAUUACAAUGCAAAGUGUCAUGAAGAUAGCAAGCUAGAUACAAUGCAAAGUUUCAUCAAAGGAAAAGCAAGCACUCCAUCAUAGCAAGCUAGCUUCCAUCAAGUGAAUGAAAUCUGGAAAAUGGUAAAUAAGAAAGUUAGAAAUAGGUGACUAGAACAAGAAGAAGACUAGAACAAGAAGUAUAUGUCAUUUAUGAGCUAACUUAGGUGAAAUGGAUCAUAUAUGAGCUAACUAAGUUGAAAUGGGUUGUUUAUGAGCUAACUUAGUUGAAAUGGAUCAUUUAUGAGCUAACUUAGUUGAAAUGGGUCGUUUAUGAGCUAACUAAGGUGAAGGGCAUCGUUUUUGAGCUAAGUAAGGUGAAAUGGGUCAUUUUGGAGCUAACCUAGGUGAAAUGGGUCAUUUUGGAGCUAACCUAGGUGAAAUGGGUCAUUUUAAAGGUAACGUAGGUAAAAUGGAUCAUUUAGGAGCUCAUCUACGUAAAAUGGGUCAUUUUAGAGCUAAUUUAGUUGAAAUGGAUCUUUUUGAGCUAACUUAGGUGAAAUGGAUCAUUUAAGAGCUAAUUUAGGUGAAAUGGAUCGUUUUUAGCGCACUUAGGUCAAAUGGAUCGUUUAUGAGCUAAAUUAGUUGAAAUGGAUCGUUUAUGAGAUAACCUAGGUAAGAUGGGUCAUUUUGGAGUUAACCUAGGUGAAAUGGGCCAUUUUAAAGCUAACGUAGGUAAAAUGGACCAUUUAGGAGCUAAUGUAGGUAAAAUGGGUCAUUUUUGAGCUAACUUGGAUGAACUGCAUCAUUUAUAAGCUAACCUAGGUAAAAUGGGUCAUUUUGGAGGAAAAUAAGCUAACUCUAGGUCAUUAUGGUAAGCAUAUUGGAGGAAAUAAAGCUAAGUCUAGGUCUUUAUGCAUUUGUUAAGCAAAACACUAGAGAAACUUACCGUGAUCAGGGAGGUGUAGGAGCGGGGUGGCUAGUGCCGCUACCUGGAGAAGGAUCGUGCGAUGCGUUUCUGGAGUUAAGCUGCACCAAAGAUCAUUUCCAAUGUCUCGUUAGCAUUACGACACUCAAAUGUUAAGACUACCAAGUAAUGUCCAUUCAAACUAAACUCACCGUGCUCCCAGGAGCAAUCACCGGCAUCGGCGGAGCGGGCUGACCGGACUUCUCGCACACAGACUGCACAUUUGGUUUUCAGAACAGAGUGAUACUAGUUAGUAAUGAGACUCAAAUGUUAAGACUAGCAAGUAAUCUGCAGAAGAAACUUACCACAAGGAGCUCGUACAUGGCCCUUGCCUGCAUGUCAUUCCGUGCCCUCUCCUCCUCCAUCAUCUUUCUCGUCCUCUCCUCCAUCUCCCGCUGCCUCUCCGCCGCCUCCGCCAGAAGUUUCUCCGUUCUAUCUCUCUCAGUCUGUAUAGCAGCCUGCAACACCACUCACAUGACCAUUUGUAAUCAUUGAUGGAAGCGCACACAUUGUAAUGGAGAAAGAUAACUGAGUACGUAUCACUAACCUUGAUGGCGAGUUGCACUGGCCGUUCACGAGGCCUUAUCUCAGGAGCGGAGCUCGACUGGCGCGCCUUGAUCUCCGGGAGAGUGCUAGGACAACAGAUAAGUCCAUCUCCAAUGGCUAUGGAGCCAUGGGACCUCCCGCCACCAGAUAUCAUCACCAGCUCUGGAUCAAUGGGACCCUGGCUCGGGUUAAAGUCCUCCCCUUUCCUCGCCUUCCCCUCAUCUCUAUAUCUCACGAGCUUGUUGUGGGAGGAGAUGUUGGUGAAGUUGUUUGCAUCAUCGAGGUCAGACUGAGAGAAAGCCUUGACUUUCUUGUAAGAGCCAGUGUGGGCCAUGGCAUACAGGUCGUACACCUCUGGCACCUUAUCCGCCUUAUUGUGGCGUGCCUGAAAGAAAGAAACAAUGAAAAUUAGUAAUUAAAGGGCUCAAGCUAGCAUGAUGAAUGAAUUGCAUGAAUCAUGAAGCAAACCACAUACCCAGUUGCGCCCGAACUGAUAUAAGUUGGAGCUGCCUUGAUGGUGUGGCACACCUUCCAUUUGGGCACGUUUGUCCUUGGCUUGGUUGUGGAGGGCUAGCCAUUCUUGUGAGCACCACUCAUCGACCAACACCUCCCAACAAUCCAUCCGAUCCGCACACCAUCUCGGAGGCGCCUAAGUUAGCAAAUAGAAACUUGAGCGCUACGGCUAAGAAUUACUAAAUGAAGGAACUUAAGUAGAAGGCCUUAAGAAUUACCUUCAUGUACUGCUCCUUACUCAGGAACUUAUCGCGGCACGCCGGCUUGGUCUACUUGAUACCACGCAAGGCGUAGUAGUCUCGAACAGCCUGCACCCGAGCCUCGUGCCGUAAGUUCUGGAGUAGGCGCUUGCAGACGUUCUGGAUAACAUUUGCGCAGUCCUCCUCGUAUCCCUCCUCACACCUGUAGAAUGUCUGCAAUCAAAUGAGACAAUAUUGAUUAGUACAAUUAAUAACUAGCUAGUUGAAGAUUUUGAAAUGUGUAAAGGAGAAAUUACCCAGAACGUCCUGAUCACCAUGUCUGCCCUCGUGUCGCACACGACACCGUCGAUAAUGACAUCCGGCGGGGCCGGGGCAGCCACGUAGUGCUCCCAGCUCAACCCAAGCUCUGGAAGCCGACCCUCACCAGGCAACGUGACAAACCUCGGAAGUUUUGCCGGCAAAGAACUCCAAGGACGGAGUUGGGCCGGCGGACACUAUGAUGGUGGUCCCAACCCCUGCAGCAUGACAAGGCCAACGCAUUAGUUAUUUGAAGAAACGUGAAUGCAGAAGGUACAAAAAUAUUAAAUGCACUUACGUACCUCUCCCCAUCAGGGAAGAUCAACCACCUCUGCUCGCGGGUCGCCGGCACGGACGGGAGCCGUGUAGCACCACGCUGGUACACGGUGCCACCCUCCUCCUCAAGAUCAGUCGGCUCCCCGCCAUCACCAGCAUGGCCACUCGGCUCCUCGGGCUGAUCCGGCCAGGUACCCCAUCCGGACGUGUGCUCCUCCGGGGUCUCGUGGGCCGAACUCUCGUGGGUCGAAGGCCAGUCGACCCGAGGCUCGUGGGCCCAAGACCCGUGGACCGGAGGCUCGUGGACCGGAGUCCGUGUAGCCUCCUCCUCGGACGAGUCCACCCUAGCAGUCACGUGCUCGGGUGAAACAGCUGGGGGUGGCGGCGAGGAAGGUGCCCUAGCAGUCACCCUACCUCCUCUCCCGCGACCACAUGCCCCACCUCCUCUCUUCCUACCUCGUCCCCUGCUGGGCACCGCGGUCGACGAAGAAGGGCCCGGCGGUGUGGACAUACUGUCCAGCAACGCUCGGUGGAGAGGUACGUCUGGAAUCGAAGACCUCAGACCACGCGCCGACGAAGAAGGGGCCUUGGCGCGCUCCCGACCAGCGCCCACCAUCUUUCAACACCUGCCAUGACAAACAGUAAACGAAAUUAGUACAACAUAAAAAAAGACCGACAUGAAUAAUAAUAUGUGUAUCACUUAAGUGUAUCAUCAUCAAGUACAACAUUAAAUUUUUUAAUACCUGACACUACUAAUAAUCUCGAUCAGUAUCAUCAAUAAAUGCAUAAUCAUCAUCAUCACUAUAAUCAAUGAUGGGCUCAUAGGGUUCAGUGGCAUCAACAUGUGCAAGGCCACCUUGACGUAAUCGGUGAAGCAAUGACAGGUCAUCCGUAGCAGUAACCUCUUCUUGUUCCGGCUCUUCUUGUUCCGGCUCUUCUUGUUCCUCCUCUGGGGUGAUGUCGGAUUCACUGUCGCUGUCUACUUCAAUGUUUUGGGGUGAAGUAUAGCGGUUCUUGAAACGCUUUUUGGAAAGACGUGUCUCUUGGAAGAAUUCUCCUUCAUAUGUGUCUGGGUUAAUGUGAGGUUCAUAAUCCUCUUCCUUUGGGGGAGAUAGUCUAGCACGUGGCGGCACUUCAUAAACGACAUCCCAACCUUUCAGAUUUGGAUUAGUUUGGCAGGCCCACGGUAGAUAGAAUACUUGGGUCGCCUGUUGAGCCGUAAUAUAGACAUCAGGAACAUCUAAAUGGGUGCUUUGGUUGAUUUCAACUAGCCCUAUAUGUUCAUGAGUCCUUCUAGUCUCCUUCGGCUGAAACCAAUAACAUUUGAAGACUACGACAUUCCGUGGGUUUUCACCAUAGAAUAGAAGUUCAUAAAUUGCUUCAACUCUCCCAUAAUACUCGGUACCUCCUUCGCCGAUAGCAGAUACACAACAAUUUGUAGACUUUCGGUCGGCCAUAGAUAGCUCUUUGCCAUAGGUACGAAAGCGAUACCCGUUGAUGUCAUAUUUGUCAAAUGAACGGACCUUAUAGUCAAAACCAUUAGCGACUUGUCUCAAUUCGGCGUCCAUAGACUCUGAAUUAGCCUACAAGUUUAAUAUGAAAGGAUUGUUGCAUUACGCACAAAUUAGUGAAUGAAACCGGGAUAGCAGCCUACAAAUUAGCCUACAAGUCUAAUAGAAAUUACCGUUUGUUUGAACCAAGAGAUGAAACCGGGAUAGCCGCCUCCUUGCUUUGCGAGAAGCUCAUACUCUUCGACAGAAUCCUUUUGGAUCACCGCUCCAUACGAGAAUAAGGCGACGUAUCGACUGUAUGAAAUAUCUAGGAAUAAGAGCAGUUCAAAGGAAAUAGAAGUUGCGAAACUAUGUACCGAGAACUUACUUGAUGUACGACCGCACUUCUAUCAGGUUGUUGAAGAUAUACAAUGAAAUGGUCCGCCAUUGUUCGUUAUCCAAAGACACUGGAUUUGAAACACUGGCUGGUGCGAGAUUCCCUUUGAAUAGGCUGAGGUUGGAUCCACCCUUUUUAGGGUCGUCAGCAUUGUACCGAGGCUUCGGAUUAUGCAAAUGACGAUUUUUGGCUUCGUAGUGUGCUGUCACGAAGUUUGCCGCCUCCUCAGUGAUGAAUGCCUCAGCCAUCGAUGCUUCAAUUCUACGUUUAUUUUUACAUUUUUGUCGAAGCGUCUUCUGCAUCCUCUCAGUUGGGUAGCACCAACGAUUUUGCACGGGCCCCCCCAAUCUUGCCUCGGUCGGGAGAUGCAAAAUCAAAUGUUGCAUUGGAUUAAAGAAGCCCGGUGGAAAGAUCUUCUCUAACUUGCAGAUCAACUCCGGCGCCAACUCUUCCAUUUCUUCUAGCACGCCAGGCGAUAGUUCUUUCGCACAAAGAACACGGAAGAAAUAGCUGAGUUCUGCCAGUACUAGCCAUUCAUGCUCAGGGAUGAAGCCACGCAACAUCACCGGCAUUACCCGCUCAAUCCAUAUGUGCCAAUCAUGACUCUUGAGACCAAAUAUCUUCAAUUUAUCAAGACUGGCUCCCCUCUGUAGAUUCGCUGCAUACCCAUCGGGGAACAUCAACUGCAUUUUCACCCACAAGAUAAUUUCCCUCAUAGCUGGCCUUCCAAGAUUGAACCAUGCCUUUGGCUUCGUCCAGUUCUGCUUUCCUUUCGGUUCUUUCAUGUUUUGUAACGGCCUAUCACAUAGCGCCUCCAGAUCGACUCUAGCCUUAGUAUUAUCCUUUGACUUCCCAUCUAUGCCGAACAAUGUACCAAAAAGUGCCUCGGCGAUAUUCUUCUCAGUGUGCAUCACGUCGAUGUUGUGUGGGCAAAGGAGGUCUUUGAAGUAAGGCAGAUCCCAUAAGCAUGUUUUGUGAGUCCAAGCGUGCUUAGAAUUAUACCCCUUGAAGUACCCUGGACGCUCGGGAUCUGGCUCGAGAGCAUUUAACUGAUCCAGGGUCUGUUGGCCUGUCAAUGCAUGUGGUGCAGAGUUUUUGACAACUCUACCUCUGAUGAAGUUCUUCUUGUCUUUCCUGAACUUAUGGCGAGGAUUCAGGAACUCUCUAUGCAUGUCGAAGCAAGAAAACUUGCGACCGGCCUGAAGCCAACGAAACUCAAGAGCUCCCUUGCAUGUGGGGCACGGGAACCUUCCAUGCACACACCAGCCAACGAAUAGCGCAUACGCCGGCAAGUCAUGCGUCGAGUACAUGUACCAGACACGCAUUAUGAAGUUCCGUUUGCUAUAGGCAUCGUAUGUCUUGAACCCAUUAUCCCAGGCUUCUUGCAAUUCGUCCUUAAGCGGUUGCAUGUACACAUUCAUAUUUUUCCCCAGAUAGUUGGGCCCUGGAAUUAUCAACGUCAGGAAAAUGUUCUUUCUUUGCAUAAUAUGUCCGGGGGGGAGAUUGAGUGGAAAGACAAAUACGGGCCAACAACUGUAUUGGGCUGCCGUCAUACCAAACACACUGAACCCAUCCGUGCUGAUGCCGACUCGAGGAUGCCUCGGAUCUGCCGCUUUGUCACCAUGUAAUUCAUCAAACUUUUUCCACGCAACACCAUCCGAUGUGUGUACAAUCAUCAGAUUCCCAUCUGCAUCUAGUUCGGUUCUUUUGCCCGUUUUGUGCCAUGUCAUCUGUCUGGCCGUCUCUUCGACCAUGAAAAGACGUUGAAGUCUUGGUACGAUUGGCAUAUACCGAAGAACACUAACGGGGAUUUUGGUCUGUGUCUUCUCACCAUACCGUUGUCUACCACAACAUACCUGGAAGACUUGCAAAUGGGACAAUAGUUCAAGUCCGCAUAGUCAAGCCUAAACAAGACACAUCCUUUCUCACAGGCAUGUAUCUUAUCAUAGGGCAUCUUCAGUGCACGGAGGAUUUUGUCCGACUGGUAUAGGUUUGCAGGCAUUACAUGGCCUUUGGGUAGAAAGCGUCCAAAUACUGGCAUCAUUGCAUCGUAGCAUUCUCUGCCCAAGUUGAACUGAGCCUUCAGAGCCAUUACUUGUGAGAUGGCAUCCAACUGACAAAGCUCAGUGUGCUCAUGGAGCGGACGUUUUGAAGACUCCAACAUUUCAUUGAAGGCAUUUGCAGAUUCCUCCAUCUCCUCGUCCGAAUCCCGAGCAUCAUCAAAGUCUUGCACCAUGUUUUCCAUCCCGGUACCAUGCUCGUCGGUGCGACGACGAUCCACCUCAGCUCGGUCACGUUGGGCAGACUCACCAUGAAAUGUCCACACUGUAUAAUCGGGCGUAAAACCACUCUUCUGCAGGUGUUUGCCCAUUUCAGCCUCUGUCCUCUUUUCCCAAUUGCCGCACCGUAAACAGGGGCACCAGGUUUUCCUCUGGCCAUUUGCAAAUGCGGCUCGCACAAACCCCUUGGUUUUUGUGAACCAUUCAGUGCUCCAUUUGUUCUGACCAGUGUGACCGGUGUACAUCCACGCACGAUCACUCAUCUUGACUUUCAGAGCUACUAGACACACAACAAAUAUAUAUAUAUAUAUAUAAAAUUCAGCAUGUAUGUAUUCAUCAGUUGAUCUACUUUGUCAAUUUUAUUACGUCCAUGCAACCUACACUCUAAUAGGUAAUGAUAGGUCCUAAUCCCACCCGAGUAUGUUUAGAUUGGGUUCAUUUUCCCAUGCUAUACCCCGGAUCCUACGCAAAAUUUCGGCAGCACCUCCCCGCUGUUCUCCUGAUACACGUCUCUGCAAUAAACAGGGAGGAUGUGUACCCGGAGAACAACAGGGGAGGCACUGACGAAAUUUAUGCGUCGGAUCCGGGGCAAAGCAUAUGGGAAAACGAACCCAAUCUAAACAUACUCGGGCUAUCCAUGGAUAGCGUUGGACAAUUCGAAAGAAUCAAGGUUAUAAAUAUGCAAAUGCAUGCAUAUUUAUAACUAUGACGCUUUCGAAUGGGAGACACAUAUUGGUUACGCAUACUGAUGAUUCAAGACACAUAUAUAUCUAGCUAUCAAGUUUCAUCGGAAUAGAUCAAAUAAUUAAUGGGGGAGGAGGACAUGUCAUUUGUGCUCACCCACGAACGAAGGGGCAGAGCUCGUCAAACGCACGGCGAGGUCGUCGAACACCAAACCUCGCAGCGAUGAAACAACUGCACAUUUAAAACUACCCGAUCAACACAAUUAUAUAUGAUGUUUUUCAUAACAAAAUCGAAAGAUAUAUGACCUAACUAAUAAUUCACAAAUAUAUGACCCCGCCGGCUUCUGGAAGGCCAAAGAACACCUUUUCGGGAGGUGUCGGGGGUCGGGGUGUCGUGUCGGUCUCGGGGUGCCGUGUCGGGGUCGGGGUCUCGGGGUCGGGNNNNNNNNNNNNNNNNNNNNNNNNNNNNNNNNNNNNNNNNNNNNNNNNNNNNNNNNNNNNNNNNNNNNNNNNNNNNNNNNNNNNNNNNNNNNNNNNNNNNNNNNNNNNNNNNNNNNNNNNNNNNNNNNNNNNNNNNNNNNNNNNNNNNNNNNNNNNNNNNNNNNNNNNNNNNNNNNNNNNNNNNNNNNNNNNNNNNNNNNNNNNNNNNNNNNNNNNNNNNNNNNNNNNNNNNNNNNNNNNNNNNNNNNNNNNNNNNNNNNNNNNNNNNNNNNNNNNNNNNNNNNNNNNNNNNNNNNNNNNNNNNNNNNNNNNNNNNNNNNNNNNNNNNNNNNNNNNNNNNNNNNNNNNNNNNNNNNNNNNNNNNNNNNNNNNNNNNNNNNNNNNNNNNNNNNNNNNNNNNNNNNNNNNNNNNNNNNNNNNNNNNNNNNNNNNNNNNNNNNNNNNNNNNNNNNNNNNNNNNNNNNNNNNNNNNNNNNNNNNNNNNNNNNNNNNNNNNNNNNNNNNNNNNNNNNNNNNNNNNNNNNNNNNNNNNNNNNNNNNNNNNNNNNNNNNNNNNNNNNNNNNNNNNNNNNNNNNNNNNNNNNNNNNNNNNNNNNNNNNNNNNNNNNNNNNNNNNNNNNNNNNNNNNNNNNNNNNNNNNNNNNNNNNNNNNNNNNNNNNNNNNNNNNNNNNNNNNNNNNNNNNNNNNNNNNNNNNNNNNNNNNNNNNNNNNNNNNNNNNNNNNNNNNNNNNNNNNNNNNNNNNNNNNNNNNNNNNNNNNNNNNNNNNNNNNNNNNNNNNNNNNNNNNNNNNNNNNNNNNNNNNNNNNNNNNNNNNNNNNNNNNNNNNNNNNNNNNNNNNNNNNNNNNNNNNNNNNNNNNNNNNNNNNNNNNNNNNNNNNNNNNNNNNNNNNNNNNNNNNNNNNNNNNNNNNNNNNNNNNNNNNNNNNNNNNNNNNNNNNNNNNNNNNNNNNNNNNNNNNNNNNNNNNNNNNNNNNNNNNNNNNNNNNNNNNNNNNNNNNNNNNNNNNNNNNNNNNNNNNNNNNNNNNNNNNNNNNNNNNNNNNNNNNNNNNNNNNNNNNNNNNNNNNNNNNNNNNNNNNNNNNNNNNNNNNNNNNNNNNNNNNNNNNNNNNNNNNNNNNNNNNNNNNNNNNNNNNNNNNNNNNNNNNNNNNNNNNNNCGGCGAGGGAGAGGGAAGAAGUGAGUAACGGGCGGGGGGUACAGGCCGUUAGGUAGUAGGCUCUUUUCCGUCCGCCCCCCUUUGCCGUCCGCUUUUUUGCCUCUUUGCCGUCUGCUAGCGGACGGCAAAGAGGUGGCCCGUUAAGUUUUUCAAAAACGGGCGGGGGGUGGGGGCCACCUCACUCUUUGCCGUCCGCCAGCGGACGGCAAAGAUUCUUUGCCGUCCGCUGGCCGACGGCAAAGAGCUGGCAGACGGCAAUGAGCUUCUUUGCCGUCCGCCCUUUCUUUGCCGUCUGCUUUUGGGUAGCUAAUGGCAAAGAGCUUCUUUGCCGUCAGCUAGCAGACGGCAAAGAGCUGGCAGAUGGCAAAUUAGCUGAUUCCAGUAGUGAUGGAUUGAUAAACCUUAGGUCAUCCACUUGAGGGAAAUUUGCUACCGUCCUACAAACCUCUGCACUUGGAGGGCCAACAACAUCUACAAGAAGAAGGUUGUGUAGUAGACAUCAAGCUCUUUUCUGGCGCCAUUGCCGGGGAGGUUAGUGCUUGAAGGUAUAUCUUUAGAUCUUGCAAUUGAAUCGUUUAGUUUCUUGUUUUAUCACUAGUUAGUUUAUAAAAGAAAACUACAAAAAGAAAAUGGAAUUGAGGGUGCCUCACAUGCUGCAUCUUUUUAAUGUCUUUCGUGAAAAUAAGGAUUCCGAUAAUUGUGCCAAAGAGUUAGAAGAAGAAUGCAAUAAAAUGUUUGGCAUACAAUCUUUGAAUGAUGAGCAUGAUUGCAAUGUUGUUAGUAUGAACUCUUUGAAUAUGCAUAGUACUAAUGACGAUUGCACUAGUCAUGAUAAAAAUAUCUCUUAUAAGCAUGUCAAUUUUUGUGGAGUGCAUAGAGCUUGCAAGCACACACCAAAUAGGGAAGAUAGAAUUUGCAAGAGGCAUAAGUAUUUAGAAACUAAAUGGUUGCAAGAGAGGCUAGAUGCUUGUGCUAAAAAUUUAAAAUUUCUUUGCCAUCCUUGUGAACUUUGCAAUGAACGUGAUCAUUUAAAUCUCCAAUGCAAUUGUUUCAUGAUCGAAUCGUGUCCAAAAAUUGUGAUGACUUGAUUUCCCUUGCGCAUCAUAAUGAACUUAGUUUGCUUGUGGGUUAUGAACAAAUUAAACGUAUAACUAAUGAUCUUCCAGAAUUUGUUCUGGAUAAAGUUCUUGAUUUUGAUCUAGAGGAAAUUUAUAUAUUGUGCAGUGAAUUGCAUUGAAAAUCCUUAUAUUGCCAAUUACAUAAAGACAAGAAAACAAAUAGAAGAUGAAGAGAAUACUAAUGAAAGGGAAGAGAUUUCCCCAUAUCCUCCUAUUCUUUCUUAUGAUGAAUCAGGUAACGAGGAGGAGCUUUCUAUUCAACCAAUCUCAUUAAUAAGGAGCUCCAAAAAGAGGAUUAAACCCACACAUGAUGCGAAGAAGAAAAAGAAAAGACGAAGAAGCAAAGGUAAAAAGGUAUCCCUUCCAAAUUAUGUUUCUCCUAUUACUCAUUGUGAUGAUGAUAAUUGCUAUACUAUUGGUGCUAUCCAUACUAUUAAUGAUGAGACUGAUUAUGCUUAUGAUAUGCAAAGGCCCAAGCUUGGGGAUGCUAUGUUUGAUGAGAAUGACAUGUUUGAGAAUUUAUUUGCUGCAAUUAAUGUUUGCCACAAGCUUGGGGAUGCUAUGUUUGACGAAGAUGAUAUUUUUUGUCCCCCAAGUUUUGAUGAGCAAAUUUAUUAUGAUGAUAGCAUGCCUCCUAUUUAUGAUGAUUAUAUUGAUGAAAGUGGGUUUGGAAGAGUGUCAACUUUAGGAAGUAAUGAUCCCACUAUUUUGGAGGAUGUUGAAUCUUAUUGUGAUAAUUAUAAAAGUGGAUUUGGAGAGGUCAUGACUUUAUUUAGUAAUGAUUCCACUAUCUUGGAAGAGAUUUCAAUUGAUUAUGAUGAGAACAAAGUUGCUACAUAUGAUGAUUAUUGUGAUGAUACUUAUGUUAUAAAAAGUAGUGAUGAUUAUAUUUACAAAACUUGUCAUGAUUAUGAUUACCUUUUUUGAACAUUACUCUUUUAAUGUGGAAACAAUUUAUAGUAUUUGAGUUUCUUAUGAUACUCCCACUAUUCCGAAUGAGAAGAAUUUUGCUUAUGUGGAGAGUAGUAAAUUUUCUAUGCUUGUAGAUCAUGAAAAGAAUGCUUUAUGUGAUGGUUAUAUUGUUGAAUUUAUUCAUGAUGCUACUGAAAAUUAUUAUGAGGGAUGAAUAUAUGCUUGUAGGAAUUGCGAUAAUAUCAAGUUUCCUCUCUAUGUGUUAAAAGUUUUGAAGUUAUGCUUGUUUUCUCUUCCUAUGCUAGUUGAUUCUUGUUCCCAUAAAUUGUUUGCUCACAAAAUCCCUAUGCAUAGGAAGUGGGUUAGGCUUAAAUGUGUUAGUCAUAUUCUUCAUGAUGCUCUCUUUAUGUUUCAAUUCUUAUCUUUUAUGUGAGCAUCAUUGAAAUCGUCAUGCCUAGCUAAAAAGGCAUUAAAGAAAAGUGCUUGUUGGGAGACAACCCAAUAUUUACCCGUACUGUUUUUGUGUGUCCACAUGAUUAAGCUACCGUAGUAAUCAUGUUUUAUAGCUUUUGUUUCAAUAAAGUGCCAAGUAGAACCUUUGGGAAGACUUGGGUGAAAGUUAAUGUGAUCUUGCUGUAAAAAAACAGAAACUUUGCGCUCACGAGAUUAGCUUUCAUUUUUUACAGAAGAGUACUUUUAAGUUGAUUAUUUUUGAAGAAGAUUAAUAGACAAAUUCCUCACGUCCACCAAUUUAUUUCAUAAUUUUUGGAUUUACAGAAGUAUUCGAUAGUUACAGAUUACUACAGACUGUUCUGUUUUUGACAGAUUCUGUUUUCUAUGUGUUGUUUGCUUAUUUUGAUGAAUCUAUGAGUAGUAUCGGAGGGUAUGAACCAUAGAGAAGUUGGAAUACAGUAGAUAUUACACCAAUAUAAAUAAAGAAUGGGUUCACAACAGUACCAAAAGUGGUGAUUUUAUUUCCUUAUACUAACGGAGCUUACGAGUUUUCUGUUGAGUUUUGUUUUGUGAAGUUUCCAAGUUUUGGGUAAAGAUUCGAUGGACUAUGGAAUAAGGAGUGGAAAGAGCCUUGUAGCGACCCGACCUCAGACGGUCAAGUAUCUGUGCUUAAGUGUCAUCCCUGGAUCGGUAUGCUGACACACACAAUACUCGAGGAUUUAUAACAGAGGUAAAUCACAUGUAUAAAGUAACUUAAAUACCAUUACCUCAAUCCAUAUAGCGGAAGUAACAACAAGGCUGUGGAUUCCCAUCAACACCAACGGCAAAGUUGAGUGUAGAAAUCGUAACCCUAACGUAUCACUUACUCGUCGUAAGAAAUCCUGCCAUGAGACGUUGCAGCCACAAAGGGUCAGUACAUUGAAUGUACUAGCGAAUUCACACCAUAGGAUAAAUGAUGAAUAAUAGCUAUCACUACAUGCAUAUAUGGCUGGUGGAAAAGCUCUAUGGUUAUAAUGUUUUUGCGAAAAGCCAAUUUUUCCCUACUGCAAAGGAAUAUAUUUUAUUUAACUAAAAAGUUGGUUGAAAAUAUUGAGAAGGUAAACCCCUCUCAAUCCCAAUUAAAAGUAAUCAUUAACAACCCAACAAAUUUAAUAUAUAGAGUGAUGAGAUCAACAUGAUAAUUCAAGAACCAGAUACUCAAGAUGUCCAUAACCGGGGACACGGCUAACCAUGAUUAGUUUGUACACUCUGCAGAGGUUUGUGCACUUUUCCCCACAAGACUCGAUCUCCUCCGUUGGAUUUCUCGCACUACAUGGUGUUUGAGAAACGGAUGACUGAGACACAGUCUUUCAGAAGCGUUUGCACCUUACGAUGGGUAGACCGGUACACCUACAUCCCCUACAUAUGCUAGUCUACCACUGUAAGAGUUCACACAACUUAAUCAACUAUGCUAGAGCCCAUAAUAGCUUGUGGCUGCACACGGAAGUUUCUAGCAUGAAUAAUAUUAUGAUCCCUUUGAGCCUGGGUGGCAGUCCAUAGGAGCAUCGCACGAUACCCCGGGAUUUUCAAAAAUACAAGCAAUCAUGGGAAUUCCCCAGGUGCCUCAAUCCACCCAGAUGUGUAUUUAAGUUGCCACCUUAAGUUGAACCAUUCAUUAACAAUCUCACAUCUGUCAUGGAUACACUCAAACCCAAUCCACGUCUACGAGCAUAGCAUGGUAAUAUAAGCAUAACGUAAUAGUAACUCCCAAGGUUUGAAUGCAGGGCAAUAGGUUCCUACCUCAUCAACUACUUCCCAAAUACCCACAUGUUAUCAAUCCUACUCAUGCAAUGUUUGAGGGUGAAACUAAUACAUAAAAACUGGGUAUGAAAGGGAUAUGAUUAAAGUGUGAACUUGCCUGCAAUGUUGAUGAAGAUGAUUCGCACUCAUAACUCUUGAUAGUUCUACUCGUCAUACUCCGUUCAAUCUAUCAUGAGCAAGCAAUAGUAACCACACAUAAGCAAUCACUCAAAAGAUCGGGAAGAACGAAGAAGACAGUUCGGAAAACAUCAAAAACAAGCAAAUAAAUCUUGCAACAUAAAACAAUUUCUAACAAUACCAAAAUUAUGUGAAUUUGGCCUUAUCAGAAAGUUUAGGUCAAGAGCUUCGAUUUGCAAAAAGAAUCAACUAAACCAGAGUAUAAAACUCAAGUUAUGAUCAAAAGAAGUUUGAAUAUGAAUCUGAACAGAUUUCGAAAUUUGAAAAUUUCAAAAUGUUGAUGUGACAGGUUCACUGGAUAGGUGAAAACAAGACGAAACUAUAGGCGUUGGUUUCAUCUAAUUUGGAUGAACGAGUAAAAAGUUAUGGCUAUUUGAAAAAUCAGGGCCAAGUUGUUUUACAGAAAAAAAUAGCUACGGCUAAACGUAUAAAUACAGAGAACAAAUAAAUAUACCUUUAUAAGGUAUAGAAAAGACGACUUCGGAGUGAGGAGACAACUUUCAAAAGUCCCGCCGGAGAGGAGAAAUAUAUUUUUCUUUAAUGAAUCUAGUCAAAUCAAAAUAUUGAUUUAACCCGAAUCGGAUGAUUUUUUAAGGCUCUAUGAGUCUAUAUUUAUAGAUAGAAAAAGACAUAAAGGUCAAAGGCUAGACAAUGUGGGACUAAACAUAUACGUACAUAGAUGAAAAGAAAACGAGACAAAGAAGGCGCGUCGCAUGGGCCUAAACGCGUAAGGCGGUUCGGCCGGUCGCGCAGCUGAUAUUUUUUUAACAAAAUUUGGCCUAAGUAAAAAAAAUAAAAAGGUUGGCUGGGCCCGGCCCAUUAGGAAAGAAAAUGAGGCGCCCGCUGCCACUAUACUACGCGUGUGGGCGAUAAAUAAAUAUGGGCCGCACGUACAGUUUUUUUAAUAGAAACAGAAAGAAAACCGUAUAACGAAAAUAAAAUAAAAUUAUAUAUAGGCAUAUUGUGUAUCAAAAGUUUCAGAAAAAGAUUUUCUACAACGUGGACAUUUUUGUCAAGUCAUAUAAAAUCGAGAAAAAAUUCAAAUAAUUCAAAGAGUGCUACUGCCCUACUAAAAUCCAACAAAAAUCAUUUUGAAAAAUACCAAAUUGAUUUCAAAUUUAUUUAUCUCCAAUUUUCUGAUGUAGGGAAUCAUGUUACCCUAUUUUCCAUAUAUUUUUAUUUUAGAGAAAAAUAAUUUGAAUAAAACCCAAAUAACUCCAAAUUGAAAAUAAUUUCAAAAGGACUUUGAAUUCGAUCCUUUUUAAACUUCCAACUCAUAUUUCAUAUGUUUUGAAGAAGUCAUUUUAUCUUCUCUCAUGAAAAUCAUUGAGUUGCUUAAAGUUUCUGAGUUGGAAAAUAUUUCCAAAUGAAUUCAAAUAUUUUCAAAAACCCUUUUCAUUUAUUUAAAUGGAAGAAGUCAUGUCAUCUUCUCUCUAGGGUUUUGUAUUUGAAAAGAAUUUGAAUUCACAGAGAUCAUAAAAGCAAAAAUGAAAGUUUGGGAAAGUCCUUUUAUUCCCUCUCAUUUAACUUUCAAAAAGUUUCGAAAUUCACUCAAUUCACACAAGCAACCACACCACAAUCAAACAAUCAAUCAAAUCUAUCUAUUUAUAUAACAUUCCAAAAUUUAGAAUUUUGGGAUGUUACAAACCUACCACCCUUAAAAUGAAUCUCGUCCUCGAGAUUUGGAGAGGCUAGCAAGAAGUAUGUUAGGUUUGGGGGUCUUCUCAAAAUCCAUCGAUCAUCACAAGGGGUCUGGGGUGCUACCACCCUUAGAAGCAUGGUUACGGUUCCAUCAAAACUCAUAUACUCCAUCCUUAUUGUUGACAGUGUCGGUCUUCUCAGAUUCUCGGGAAAAUUCCUUCUCUGGGCUCUUUCGGUAGUGGCAUAACCUUUACUGCAGUUCUUAUGUCCUUUCAUCCUGGUAAGGUUAUUCCGAGACUGGGUCUUCUUAGCUGACGGGUCUGGCGCCAAUACUAAACAACUAUCGAUAUCUCAUGGUGGUCAACAAUUUAUGGUUUCUCCUGCAGGAAAUGGGUCUGGUUGAUCCUCACCGUAUAACCUACGGUUGGCAAAAGCUGCCUUGUACAAGGGAAAAAUUACUAUACCAUUCUAAGGUUCAAACAAGGUUUAAUACCGUCGUCGCUCUACUAUAGGUAAGUCACUUAGAUUUACCAUCCCACAUAGCAAGGCGAAUAAUAAGAGUAAGCCGGUAUGGUGAUCAAUCCAUCCCGCACCCAAAUCAUUACCCUGUACAUGGUUUAGCGAAUCUUGCAUUCUAACACUCGGUCAUCCUCACAAUCAUUGCAUAAUUUCUCUUGUCAACGAACUAGGUUCGGAUAAAUCCGUUGAUUCUGCAAGCCAAACAAACAUCUAUCGUUCCUUCACAACUCUCAGGUUUUGCGUAACUCCUAUAAGAUCGUCUGUCGAUAAAAUCGUAACUUCUUCCAGGGUUUUUCCUUUAGCAAGAGUGUGCUUGCUUCUUGGCAGGUCCUGGGGCCUGUGGGUUAUGGCCCAUCUCAUCACUUGAAAACCUUGAACUCAUCCUCGGGGCAACUGAUCUUCAAUCCAACAUCCAACUUCCUGGCAUACUUAAAUCCAUCAAAUUGUAUUGUCUCCCUUCCUUCGAAUUAUGCCAAACUAAGACGUGAUUACUCAGACUCAUCAUGGAGUUGCAAUUGCUCCAUGUUACCAACAUUCUACCUCCUUUACAUCCAAUAAUACUCCAUACCUUCAUAUUCUUGGGGUAUCCAACAUAUCGAGAUAAAACUCAUACUUAUUUUGUCCGAAAUCCACUUCGUGGAAUAUCAUUACCUUUUCCAAGGGUCAAGUUUCCUCACAGGGUACUACCACCCCCUUAAAAUGCACAAUCUUCCAUAGACCAUAUUUCUCAUAUCCUCGAAAAUGGUCAAAAUCUUUCUUCAUAGAGUAACAACUCAUAAAAUCCAAAUCAAUACCAACGAUGCUAACUGUAUUGAUUCUCAAAUUAUUACAAUCUCCUGCAUUCCAUUACAUGCCUCAACCCCACACCUCACUAAUAAAAAGAAAUGUCCACACUACUACUACUAUAUUUCUCGUUGGACUCAACUAUUUAUCACAAGUCUACUUCUCCUUGGGGCAUUCUCUGGCAAAGUGCCCUACUUCAUCACAACGGAAACAUAUUACUUCUGACAUAUCUCAAGGUUUCCUUGUGAUUAUAUAGCCUCCUAGGGUCCUCGGCUUCCUUUUUGGGCAACUGCUGAGGUAGUGCCCAGACUCCUUGCACCUAUAACAGGUGAUAUGGCUCAGGUCCUUCCUGGAAUCCAAUCUACUUCUCUUUCUGGACUUUUUUGUUCCAAUCAGGGCUUCUAUUUCCUGUGGGUCAUACUCUACUUCCUCCGUCGGGAAUUCUACUAGAUCCCCAUUCAUACAAUUCUGGGGGAUGUGUCCUUCUUCUCCACAUGAAUAGCAAGACUUGGUGUAGGGUUUAAUUGGUUCUUCUUUGGGUGUGUCCUCCACCUCUUCCUUCAUUACAGGUUCUUCUAAAAUUUCCAUUAGGGCUCCUUUCAUUGCUUCUUUCUUCUGCUGGAUGGUUCUUUGUACCAUGGGGUAAAUGUGACACUGAGCAGGGUAGUGGGUAGUCCCUUCACACAAGAAACAAGUGAUCUGCCUAGUUGGGCAUUCUUCAGCUGGGUGACUUUCUUCACAAUGAGUGCAUUCAUCCUUCUGUUCUUUAUGGUUGUGUCCUAUUUCUCCACAGAGCUUGCAUGCACAAGGUUUCUUCAUAUCACUUCCAUAAGGCUUCACAAACCGAGACUUUGGCAAAGUCAACUUAAAUUCUUUCCAAGUGGUUACUCCUUGCCAUCCAUAGAUGUUUUGGUACAUCCUCCACCAAGUAGCAGCACCUCUUUCAAGGCACUGAAGAGCAUGCUGGAUCAUAUGCUUUCCGGCUAUAGUGUUAUUCUUCAUGUGAUCCUCCAUGUUCUGAAUCCAUCGGUCCGUCUCCUAAUUGACUCAUCGGUCCAGAAAAUACAAGCUGAUCUCCAUUCAUCCUCUAUUUGGUCCAUGGGUUUUGGGGUGAGAUAAGAGAGAUCGGGAGGGAGAGAGAGAGAGGGAUGCACACAAUACAAACAAAAGUUUUCAAAAGGCAGAUUUUAUUUGUGGCUGUCGGGAAAAACAUCAAACAAAUGACAUCUCACAAACGUCACAUCUAACGUAGGUAUAAAACAGGGGUUUGGUCUUCUAAGGGUCAAUAAAUCUUCAGAGUCGCCAAACUCUUCAAGUCUUGUUCAUGUCUUCGAUGGCUUCUUCUGAUCGUGCUUGACCUUCUCAAGUUCUUUUGCCAGAUCAUCUCUGCUGUCGCAAAGUCUAUCAUGACGUCCUUUAAUAUUUCUGGAGUUGCGUUCCAAACUUCUGGGUUUCAUCAACCUCGACAUGAACCAUGAUCCUACUAUCCUUCAGUUCCAGAUGAAUCUUUGAUGUCUCAAGGUUUUGCUCCUCUAGCUUGGCUACUUUCAGCUUAUGGGUCCUGCGUUCUUCAUGAAACGCUUCCUUAUCAAAUACUGCUUCCUGUAGGUCCAUCUUAACUUCUUGAUGUAACACUCCAGAUCCUGGCGAUACACCGGCUAAGGUUAAAACUUCGUCUCUUGCUGAUAGGUGCUCCAUCAGCCUUCUACCAUCCAAUCCUUCCGAAGAAAUGCAUGCUUAACUCAGCACAGUGACAAUAUCAUAAGCAGGCGAUAACAUCAUGGAUAGCCGUGUUUACGCCCAUGUCUUUUCCAUGAGCUAUCAUUCCAUAGUUGCUAUCUCCUGCCUUGGGGUUUUCUUGACAAAAACUUUGAGUUUUUAACUCUCCAUGCUCCGGUCUUUCUCCGAUACACCUUGAUCUCGGGUAUUGACAACUUCCACAGUCUGCCAAGUUCCAUAAGGGUAGACUUCCUAGGUCAUAAAAAUCUGGGAAUUCUUCAGAGCCUUCAAAUUCUCCUAGUCUUCGGAGUCUUCAACUGUUGUAGUUUCCAUUAUUCAGAUGCACGGUAAAAUCCUCUUCAUUCCGUAGUGGUCUUAGUUGUCCGAUAUCUUGUUCUCCUUGUAGUGGUCUCAUCAGUCAAAUCUUCGUAGUCAAAAGGGGAAAGGAGUAUAGUCUAUCUAAAAGGGGGAUAUUUGAAAAACUCAGAAGAGAAGAGAGAUAAAAGAUCUUUUUGAAAAGAAAGUUGUAGAGAAAAUCUGUCCUAUGGGCUUGCCAGUUUCUAGGGUCAUGUCCUACAGUCAACAUGUGCUCUGAUACCUUCUUGUAGCGACCCGACCUCAGACGGUCAAGUCUCUGUGCUUAAGUGUCAUCCCUGGAUCGAUAUGCUGACACACACAGUACUCGAGGAUUUAUAACAGAGGUAAAUCACAUGUAUAAAGUAACAUAAAUACUAUUACCUCAAUCUAUAUAGCGGAAGUAACAACAAGGCUGUGGAUUCCCAUCAACACCAACGGCAAAGUUGAGUGUAGAAAUCGUAACCCUAACGUAUCACUUACUCGUCGUAAGAAAUCCUGCAACAUGAGACGUUGCAGCCACAAAGGGUCAGUACAUUGAAUGUACUAGCAAAUUCACACCAUAGGAUAAAUGAUGAAUAAUAGCUAUCACUACAUGCAUAUAUGGUUGGUGGAAAAGCUCUAUGGUUAUAAUUUUUUUGCGAAAAGCCAAUUUUUCCCUACUGCAAAGGAAUAUAUUUUAUAUAACUACAAAGUUGGUUGAAAAUAUUGAGAAGGUAAACCCCCUCUCAAUCCCAAUUAAAAUUAAUCAUUAACAACCCAAAAAAUUUAAUAUAUAGAGUGAUGAGAUCAACAUGAUAAUUCAAGAACCAGAUACUCAAGAUGUCCAUAACCGGGGACACGGCUAACCAUGAUUAGUUUGUACACUCUGCCGAGGUUUGUGCACUUUUCCCCACAAGACUCGAUAUCCUCCGUUGGAUUUCUCGCACUACAUGGUGUUUGAGAAACGGAUGACCGAGACACAGUCUUUCAGAAGCGUUUGCACCUUACGAUGGGUAGACCGGUACACCUACAUCCACUACAUUUGCUAGUCUACCACUGUAAGAGUUCACACAACUUAAUCAACUACGCUAGAGCCCAUAAUAGCUUGUGGCUGCACACGGAAGUUUCUAGCAUGAAUAAUCUUAUGAUCCCUUUGAGCCUGGGUGGCGGUCCAUAGGAGAAUCACACGGUACCCCGGGAUUUCCAAAAAUACAAGCAAUCACUAGAAUUCCCCAGGUGCCUCAAUCCACCCAGAUGUGUAUUUAAGUUGCCACCUUAAGUUGAACCAUUCAUUAACAAUCUCACAUCUGUCAUGGAUACACUCAAACCCAAUCCACGUCUACGAGAAUAGCAUGGCAAUAUAAGCAUAACGUAAUAGUAACUCCCAAGGUUUGAAUGCAGGGCAAUAUGUUCCUACCUCAUCAACUACUUCCCAAAUACCCACAUGUUAUCAAUCCUACUCAUGCAAUGUUUGAGGGUGAAACUAAUGCAUAAAAACUGGGUAUGAAAGGGAUAUGAUCAAAGUGUGAACUUGCCUGCAAUGUUGAUGAAGAUGAUUCGCACUCAUAACUCUUGAUAGUUCUACUCGUCACACUCCGUUCAAUCUAUCGUGAGCAAGCAAUAGUAACCACACAUAAGCAAUCACUCAAAAGAUCGGGAAGAACGAAGAAGACAGUUCGGAAAACAUCAAAACCAAGCAAAUAACUCUUGCAACAUAAAACAAUUUCUAAUAGUACCAAAAUUAUGUGAAUUUGGCCUUAUCAGAAAGUUUAGGUCAAGAGCUUCGAUUUGCAAAAAGAAUCAACUAAAUCGGAGUAUAAAACUCAAGUUAUGAUCAAAAGAAGUUUGAAUAUGAAUCUGAACAGAUUUCAAAAUUUGAAAAUUUCAAAAAGUUGAUGUGACAGGUUCACUGGAUAGGUGAAAACAAGACGAAACUAUAGGCGCUGGUUUCAUCUAAUUUGGAUGAACGAGUAAAAAGUUAUGGCUAUUUGAAAAAUCAGGGCCAAGCUGUUUUACAGAAAAAAAAUAGCUACGGCUAAACGUAUAAAUACAGAGAACGAAUAAAUAUACCUUUAUAAGGUAUAGAAAAGACGACUUCGGAGUGAGGAGACAACUUUCAAAAGUCCCGGCGGAGAGGAGAAAUAUAUUUUUCUUUAAUGAAUCUAG